rnacentral:lncRNA from 1 species
AGAAACAGAAAACAAAGAAAGAGUAACUAAACUAAAUAAAAUCCUCAUAUACUCAAUACCAGAUUAAAAUUACAACUUUAGUUUCAGCUACAAAAGAAGAUUUAAUUUAACCAAACUGUAUCAUUCCACUAAACUAUCACAACAUGAGUUGUCAAAAAAAAAAAAAAAAGUUUGUGGCUAAGAAAAUUCAACCAUACAAGAGCAGACACAUUUCCCAAGAGCUAAGAAAUUAAUGUAUGGUAAGUGUAGAAUAGGAAAGAAAAAGCACAAAAAAAGAAUAAAAUUGAUUAAAAGGUAUUAUAAAGCAAAAGGGAGUGUAAAUGGAGAAAAUGAGAAUGGGAAAAUCAGCUUCCAUAAAAAAAAUAUUACUCAAGAAGCAAGAAAAGGAAAAAAGAAAAACAAAUGUUAACCUUAAAAUUAAAGUGGAAUCUACCAAAAAAGAGAUAAAAUUUCAAUGAUUUUACUAAUUAAUAUGAAUAAAGCUUACAAAUACAACUCCUAUAGAAAGAGAGAAGAAAAAAAACAUAAUUCCACACUAGUCUUAAAACUUAGCUAAUAAUAAAAUAAAUAAAUUCUAGCUAAAAUCGUAUCUGAAAAUUCCAAUAAUAAAUCAUUCUUCCUCUUUUAAAGCCAUAAUUGAUAUUUAAUAAAAAAUUUCCUCUCUUUGACGCCUUCAUGCCAAUUUUGAACUGAUUGCUUUUCUUUAUUUUUCUUCGUAGGAAUUUACCAAUAAUUUGUCCUACAUUAAAUGAUAAUGAAAAUUUUAUUGUAGUAAGUGGGUAUCUCAUUCGACCAAAACAAAAAAAGUGGGUAUCUCAUUCGACCAAAAAAAAAAAAGGUAUCUCUAGUACUAUUAUAAUAAUCUUGCUCAUAUUGUGUUUAUGUAAUCCCUUAUUAAACCGAGUUAAAACUUGGCAUUAAGUUCCAUGAAAAAAUAUUUUAGCAAUCCUUGUAUACAACAAUUGGUCAUGUGAUUAUGAUGUGAAGAGUGGCUACGUGAGACUCAUUGUAUACUCGAGAUUUUUGAGAAAAAUGUCAACUAUGAGAAGCACAAUGGGUCCAAUACAUCAUUGACCAAUUGGCAACCUACUUGACAUUUAGAAUUCGCAUUCAUUGUUUGAGCUCUUAAAUAAACGACAUCAAAAGAAGAAAGAGUUUCAUAAAACGGGAAUAAUACUAUUUUGCUAUUCUUAAUUAGUGACACUAUAACAUGUGUGAUGAGAGUUUAUAAAUUUGGCUUAAUAAAGAUAACUUCACUUGUUAUUACAUUUCAUUCUCACCAAAUGGAUUUAUGAAUUUUCUAUAUUUAAUGUGGUGAACUUAUUAAGUGAAUUUAUCUUUUGUAGGAAGUUGGAAAUCCAAAAGAUGAAAAUAUAUAUUUGUCCAAGUUCAAGCCAAGUGUGAAGAGAAUUGCUGGUGGAUUUUAUUGAAGAAUUGAUUGUGAGAUUAUUGUGAUUAUAAAGAGAAGUAAAGAGGGAGAAGAGAAGAUAAAACCGUUGAAGCUAAAGAGCCCAUUUCAUGUCAUUCAUAGCCAUUUAGCGCCCACUACCUCACUGUUAUUUCUUUUUCACUAACUCUCCACCAUUAACACAUGUUUAAUCCAAUUAAUCCCUCACUUAAACCUUUCAUUACCCACUUUGAAUGUAUUAAUUUUCCACUCACCUCAUUGACUACUAUAAAUCAACCAUUAAUUUAUUUGGCAAGGACACCACUACGACAUAUUUCUUUAUCCAUUCCAUUUAAAAUGUAGUUAUGUUUUUCUUUGUAAUGAGUUGUUAGAACUCUAGCCAAGGCUAAAGUGAAUGUUCUUUGAGUAAGUCUGUGAAUUAUUCUUUAAUCCAAUAUACAGUAUGAAUUGCUAAAUCUUUUAUUUUUGGUUGCUCAAUAUUUUCAUAUCCUUUUAUUUUGAUUGAUGUUAAAUGCCACUAUCUUUUCAUUAAUUCAAUUAUAUUUUUCUCAUUGUUAAGAAUUGACUUAGCAUGCUUUUAAAUUAAAAGAUUAGAUAUUAUGCAAUUCCAUUUUUUGAACAAUCAUUAAUAAAAGAUAACAUUGAAAAAUUAAAUUAGUUUCAAUUUCUUUAUUCCAGUUAAAGUUGCUCAAUGAUAAUCUUAAUCAAGUUAUAAGUUGGAUUAAAGAGCAUGAAACAUAUUUUGCUUAAAGAAUUGAACCUUGAUGCCUUAACAUUUCCAUUAUUGAUAAUUCAUUUUAAAACCCAAUCUCUACAACACUCAAAUCAAAUUACUUUUCCAUUUUGCUUGUCACUUUUAUUUUGGUAUUUUUAAUUAUUUCUUUGUGUGAAGACUUUUGCCUACCUUCUCCUUGAGAAUACGAUGCUUGGACUUCCAAGAUUAUUACUACAUGUGACUACUUGCACUUGCGUAGACUCAACAUUGACCAAUAUCAAGUGGCAACUUACUUGACAUUUAGAAUGCGCAUUCAUUGUUUAAGCUCCUAAAUAAAUGGCAUCAAGAGGAGAAAGACUUCCAUAAAACGGGGAUAACACUAUUUUACUAUCCCCAGUCAAUAACGCUAUAACACGCGUGAUAACACUUUCACAUAGCAUAGCAUUAUUAGCAAAAUAAUACCAUCUCCGUUGCAACUAAACUUUUGUCGCAUCAAGAGAGGAGGAACCUUUUAGGCAUUGUUCUUGUUGGUCUCAACAAGAGUGAAUUUUUCAACAAGAGGAGAGGAGAGGGAGAGCGCAGAAGAUUUCAGUUGAAUUUUUUAUAUCAUAGAACCUUGUUUUUAUCUUCUUUGUUUUUUUGAAUAGUUUGGCAAGAAGUAUGUUAUUAAAAGAUUUUAGUUGAAUUGGGUUCUUUCCACUACAAGGCAAAGGCUUGGCUUAUGAGUGGGUUGGUGAGUCUACAAUUUGGUCUCACAUCCUCUUCUAUUAUUCUCCUUUGAUGGUACCAUUACCAACCCUACCAACCUCAGUCAAAAAUAAAUAAAUCAUUUCCAACAUGUUUAAUUAAGGAUAAAAUUACUUUAAAACCAUUAAUCUUAGCUUAAGCCAUCGUCUUAACUGAAUCAACUGUUAAUCCAAAUCGAAGAUGCAAAAAGGACCCACAGGUGGCAUGAUCCAAUCGAUGUGAAGCGUGGCUUCGCACUACUCUCAUGUGAUUAUAAUAAGCAAUGUCAAUUUCAUGGAACAUGCUUUUAUUAAAUUUGAAAAUUCAAUUCAAUCAAGGCCUUUAAAAAUCAAAGUCACAUGGACGUGUUUAGUGGUGACACCUCAAAACAUUUACUCAACAAGGACGUGGUCUGGUGGUAGACCUUAUUGUCUUUUUCUAUUUCCCUUUUUAUUCCAUAUAUAAUUGAUUGUUAAUAUCAAAUUCACUUUUGUUGUUGGCUAUAGUUUUUUAAAGCAUAAUGUCAUCACAAAUUUCCAUUGCACCGAUAGUGACAGUCACUUACGUAUGCAUAUGUAGUUAUUUAUAGUAAAUUUAUUUGUGCAUUAAAAUAAGACCUAUAUCAUCAACAGUUAAUAAUUAUUCAUACAUGAAUAUGUGAUUAUCUUUAACAUCGUUCAAUCCUGACAUCAAACAUUAGUUCAAUAUUUCAUGCACUAAUUAUAGCUCUCUGUUUGGAUGAGAGAAAAUAACUCUAAAUUUAGCUAAAAGUAGGUAUUUAAGAGGAGAAGUUGACAAUUUCCAUAGUGCGAUUUACAAAAUUCGACAUACAUAAAUUCAUACACUGAAAUUUUUAAUUGACAAAAAUUAAAAUGAUGGAAAUAUAAAUUCCAUCAUUUUAGAAUUCUAUGUAAUUUUCAAUUUUUUCAUCCAAAUGCAGAGUAGUAAUUCAAUAAUUUAUGAGCUAACUACAUAAAUACUUCUAUAGUUUGGAGGGUUUUAUAUAGUUAAUCGAUAAUCGCUGAAGCUGGUCGAUAAAAAUCAAUCAGUCAAUUUAUGGCAAGCCCAUUAAGAGCCCACAAAUUGCAGAUCAAAGCCCAAAUUGCGAAGCCCAAUAAAGAGUCAGCAACGUGUCGGUGGUUGAUAAAGGAACGUCAAAGCUUAAAGCAACAGAAAACGACAUGUGAGGUGCGUUUGUGAGCAAUCUACGUAACACUUGUAGCUAUCUCCUCUUCUACACGUCUUUCUCUUCACAACUUUAUCUUUAUAUAUAAAAAAGAAAGUCCCCCCAUUUUCCAUGAUUGAUUUUCUUUUGGACUUUUUAGCCUCUCGCAUACGAAAAAGGGUAAAACUUUAUGGGGAAGAUCAAGCCUUUCAAGCAGGAGUUCUCAUUCGGUUUGAUUUUUCCCUCCUUUUUGAUUUCAAUCAUUUACAGAAAGGCGUUUUUCUUGUAAUUUUUAUGAUGGUUUUGAUGGUUUUGAUUCAGAUGAACGACUUGAAGAAUCGAAAAGUAUCAUCGCAAAAUACCCAGAUCGAAUUCCGGUUAGUUUUCAUUUAUGAUUGUUUGUUAUUUAGUUUUCUUUGUGAGUUUAUUUAUUUAUUAUUUUAUAUUUAUUUAAAUAAGAAUGGAGUAAAAAAUAUAUAUGAUUCAGAAAUUCCAAGAUACUGGGAUAAAUAAUGCACUAGGAAAUUGGAAACAUGGAGAUUUGUUCUUGUUUGUGUGUGUGUGUGUGUUUUUUUUUGGUUGCUUUCGUCUUUGGCAGACCUGAGUUGGUUUUAAUGUUUGACCCGAUUGAGAGAUGAUAAUGUUUUAGUGGCUGAGAGCAUUUUUUUGGGUGUAUACUUUGAAAUGGCAAAUUUGUAAUUUGCGUACAAUCAUAACGCUUAAUUUUAUCAGAAUUGACGCAAUUAGGCUUUAAUGGAGAAGCUGUCAAAACUGAUCAAGGUAUUCUUUGUAUGUCUUUCGGCAGGUGAUCAUUGAAAGAUAUUCCAGGACAGACCUGCCUGAAAUGGAAAAGAAAAAGUAUGUUCUAGUUGUCACAAAUUCACAAUUCUCUGCAUUUUCGUCAAGGCCAAAGUUUCUUGUGUUAAGAACUAACUUAAAUGUCAUAUUACAUGUACAUCUGAGGUUCAAUUUUUUAGAAACUUUAAGAUCCAUGCAUUAUCCAUAUGUUUAUUGGUCAGUAAAGUUUCCGUCUCGAGGUCCUUUGGCAUUGGUACUCUCCUGAGUUCUUUAGUGUACUUAUAAUAAUACUAGGAUAUUUCAGUUUGUAUAUUAGUACCCUCAUCCUAACUAUAUAGCUCUUUGUUCUAGCGAAACAGAGAGCUUUGCUUCUGUUACUUGCUCUGUGUUCUGAUGAUCUUUUGGCAUGUUUUGCUUGCUUUUCUAUGCUUUAAUAAUAUAUGUAUGCUUGGAUGAAUUUCCUUUUAUUCGCAGUUCGGUAUAAUCUGAAUGUAGCUACUUAGUUCUAGAAGUUCUUAACGCAGAUUGAAUUGCCUUCCGGAAUAUUUUAGCCAAUUGUUUUUGCGUUCUCACUUUAAGGAGAAUAACCUGUAUAUCGUGUUUUCUUGUUUCGUAUAGAUUUCUUGUUCCAAGAGACAUGUCUGUCGGCCAGUUUAUUCAUAUCUUAAGCAGCAGGCUUCACUUGACUCCUGGGAAAGCUCUUUUUGUGUUUGUGAAGAACACAUUACCUCAAACAGGUAAAAGACAUAUUAUUGAUUCGGCUACCAGUUUUAUUUGGAUUCUGCACGACAUUGAGAACUUGUUAACACAUUUUUCUGUGGAUUUCAUUUACAGCCAGUCGUAUGGAUUCCAUCUAUGAAAGUUUCAAGGAGGAUGAUGGUUUUCUGUAUAUGUGUUACAGCAGCGAGAAAACCUUCGGCUGAUCCUUCCAUCUCCUCCCCUAAUAAUCUAAUCGUUCAUAUUAGCAACUUGUAAGUAUCUGCUGUUAACUUGUUCUCAUUGCGAAGGGGCCUGUGAGGCUUGCUUCACUGUAUUCUCUCAUGUUCAUUGUAAAUUUGAUUUUUUGUGAAUUCUGUAAAGUUCGUGACCUUCAAUAAUUCCAUAUUUUCAUUCCAAUGUCGACUUUCUAUAAUAAAUGUCACCAUAUAAGUGGGUUCAAUCCUAACCAAAAAAUUAUCUAACAAGAAAGAGAACUUGUAGCCAUGCUUUGUGCUCUGAGAAUGUGCUUGCCUUUCUUUUUAUUUUAUCGUUUUCUAUUUUCAAUACAUUUCAAUACUACCUAUUCAGCAGUAGGACGUAUGAGUGAUUAUAGAAUAUUACGGUAGUACGACCAUAUUGACAAGAUGGAUGAGUAUCUUUUCUUUGAGAUGGUUGAGAACAUUACACCACAUAAUUUCAUACGAAUAGUGCAUCAGAAAUUCCAUGGAAGCAAAGUUACAUGCCGGAAAAAGUUGCAUGAAAGGAAAACAAAAAGAAGACAAAUGACAAAUGAUAUUAUUAUUCAGACCACCGAAGGCCAGGAGAAGUGAUACAACCAUAUUAUUCAUAAAUGAACGAAUAUUUUUUCAACAACAUAUUUGAGACGAGGUUUUUGAUACAUACAGCUACAUGCAGGCAGUCGCUUACUAUUUAUUUUACUCUAGCGCACUAGCAGUUCCAUGCACAGUGACCUCUGCCUCCACGGUACAACUAUCGUUCACCAAGAACCUGUAGCUCGUGUUUUUCAACCAUGUGACUGUAAUGAAUCUCGGCCAGCCCCGCAUGGGACUGGAGGCACUGAACCACCAACUAACUGCAAGAUGAAAUGAAAAAGAAGAAAAAUGAAUGAGGAGCUAAAGACCAAUAAUUAAAAAGUGCAAAGAAAAGAAAACCUCCUCACUGUGUAGGGGAUGGUGAUGGAUAGAACUAGGCCAAUCUAUUUACCUUUAUAUUCAUGGUGAUAGGUGCUGGUGGCUUGAUUUAGGAGGCGCAGGGUAUACUGUGCAUAUAUUUUAGAGGCAGGAGGCAGAGAUGUCGGAUAAGCUAAUGCCAAAUAAAGAGAGAGAUGGCCACUCGCCGCACCGUCUCUUCCCAUGGGAUACAGUUUUAUCUUCCUGCAACAAGCAACAAGCAUUUUUAGAUAAGAUUACCUGCACUUAAAAACUUCUGCAGCAAGUUUAGUUUCCAUCUGCAAACUUUACUGCUUUUUUGGCAUAUAAUUUACUCAUCUCCUUUAUUUUGUUAUUUUGUUAUUUGUUUUGGUUGGUAAACUUUCUCUAAAACUUUAACUGAUUCUUUACCAUCUUCAUGUACGUAAAAUUUUCACAAGGAGAGAGAGAGAGAGAGAGAGAGAGAGAGAGAGAGAGAGAGAGAGAGAGAGAGAGAGAGAGAGAGAGAUAAGGAGGACAUAAAAAGCCUGUAAAGAAGGAUGUAUUAAUCAAUGAGGAGGCUUAUGCACCAUUUUUGGUCUCCAGCAAUGAAUGUUUGUGAGUCAUAGCUCUCCGCGUUUAACUUUGAGAAGUUGUCAAUUUUCCAAACAUGCUUGUACAUAAUGGCAUCCUUGAUCAUUGAUAGACACUCUCCUUUGCAUGUGCUUCUUUCUUUACGAACAAAGACCUCCGCUCCAAACACGCAGGUGUCUUCCACGAGAAAUCCAUUGGAAGCGUCAGUAAAAGCUUUGAGGGAGAGGAAUUUAUCAAAUCCCCAGUCUAACUUCAUCCCAUGGAAGCGCCUUUCAUUUUGUUCUAAGCAAUGCAUAUGACAUAAAAAGAAAAGAAUCAGAAUAUGGGGCAGUACUUUGUAUACAUGAGAAACAUUUGCUUAUCUGUUCUCUGCUGUAUGUUUAAGAAUAAAAUGAAAAGAAAUGGUACCUUGAAGAGCAAAGUACGUGCCAGUAUUCUGAUCAAACAAAAACAACCUGAAAGCAGCAUGCACUUCCCAACAAGUCUGGGGGGCAUUUGCUCCAGCCAAUACUAAGUUGAGAGAGAUGUGCUCUGUCACAUUCCUGCUCUUGUUUCCAUUUGGAUAGAAAACCAGUUUCCUGCAGCAAAACCACAAUUGAUAGUACUCUAAUGCAGCUUGAACAUAAGAAGUAAAUAAUAACAGCGAAUGCAAAUUCAGGUUAUGAGAACAGAGUCACACAAAUAUAAGAACUUGUUGAAAUGAGAGAAAGAAUUGUACCAUUUGUAUCCUCCAGCUUCAAACUCCCCUGAUUCAUAUUUCUCCAGUGAAUGUUUGGACAGCAAUGAAAGCGACUGUAUUUUGAUCGUGUAAUGAGUUGGUGGCGCGUCAGAAAUUGUUCUCAAAAUCCCUGCAAUUAAAAUGUUGGCAACACAAACUAGAAGGUGUGAGGGAGGGAUGUAUACAUUAGGCGUCUGUAACAUGCCAUGUUUACAUUAGCUAGUGCUUUAACAAACACACAUAUACAGAUAGCGACAGAAUCUUACCGUCUUGUUCAUCGAAGUUAAGACUAGUCAUGUUCCUGGCAAAAAACUUGACUGCCGAACUUUGAAGGUGCUGAUAAUUGAUGCAGGUUACAAGAUUCAGAAUGGGUUUUCAGCUUUUAAAAGGAGAAAUAAAAGGUGUUAUUCCAAACUUGAAACUUUUUAAGGAUAGGACACUUAUGCUUUGCUUUUGCAGGAUAAUAAUUUGAUGUUUUGUUUUUCAAGGAAAUGGUCUCAAUGACCUGCUUGUAGGUGUUUUGAAUCAUGUACCUAUUCGAGAUCCCACGCAACCACGUUUAUUAAGGUUGAGAGAGAGAGAGAGAGAGAGAGAGAGAGAGAGAGAGAGUGUGUGUGUGUGUGUGUGUGUGUGUGUGACUCUCACCUUUUCUUGCCACACCUAGACCAUGCACAACAUUGCAUUGUUAAGUAGCUUUCUGCAUGCUGUAUGAGGCAUGUCUCUUCAUCUCUCUGUAUUAAUUUUUCAAUCUCUUCAUUGUCCAUUUUUAUUAAAUCAAAGGAAAAAGGUUUUAUGAAAAAUUGGCGUACUUGACUAAGAGCAAAGAAACUAUGCAAACGAAUUACCCAAUCAAUAGCUUGAUGUGUUUGUAGAUUGUACGAACCAAGAAAGAAAGGGACAGAUUUUAUAUCUUAACGGCACAUGUACAAUCAUAAAGCUUGUCUUAUUGGAAGCAAAGCAUUGUUGCCAGGGUGAAUAUCUUUAUGUCUUUCUGCAGUGACCAGUGAAAGAUACUCCAUGACAAGACACUUGAGAUUAUAAAUUUUUUACAUCUAAUUUCUUGUCAAUAACACUUUUAAAAUUCAUAAUUUAUCUGUGUGCUGAUUGCUCCUUAAAGUUUUCAUCUCUAGGUCCUUCCUUCCUGGUUUCUUCAGUGUACUUGUGGUAAAUGAGAUUUCAGUUUGUUCUAGAAAAACAUAGAGCUCUGCUUCAGUUACUUCCUCCAUGUUAUGAUGAUGAUCCUUUCGCAUUGAUUGUUUGCCUGCUUUUUGUGCCCUAUAUAACAUAAUAGACGCAUGCUUGGAUGAAUUUCCUUUGAUUUUUUCAACAAAAACAAAAAUUCUGCAUGGCAUUGAGAACUUGUUAACGCAUUUUUCUGUGGAUUUCAUUUACAGAGAGUCAUGGAUUCCAUUUCCACCUAGGAAAGUUACAAGGAGGACGCUGGUUUUCUGUUUAUGUGUUACGACAUCGAGAAAACCUUUGGCUUAUCUUUCCAUCUAAUCUGUAAAACUCACAACCUUGAUAAUGCCAUACUAUCUUUCCCAUGUCCAUUUUUUUAUCUAACAAGAAAGUAGAAAAUUUGCAACCAAACUGUUUCUGCUCUGACAAUAAGCUUCCCUUUUUCUUUUUCUUUUCUAUUUUCAAUAUAUUUCCGUACGACUCAGCAGAGACUAAAAGUUGUAAGGUUGAAGAAGUUACAGAAACAAAAUGAGAAACAAAAAAACAGAGGAUUAAGAGCCUUUGACAACAACUAAAAGCAUGUAAAGUCCAAAAAAUGGAGACAUAUUUAUUCACCACCAAGGUCAGAAGAAGAGAUACAACCAUAUUCAUAAGGAAAUGAGUAUCUUUUCUUUCACACAUUUAUGUAGAGAUACCAUUUCUGGUCUCCAGAAAUGAAAAGUUGUAGAAUUCGGCGUCUAAUAACUUUGAGAAGUUGUCAAUUUUCCAAACAUGCUUGCUUGUACAUAACGGCAUCUUUUACCAUUGCCAUUACCAUUGAUAGACACUCUCCUUUCCCUGUACUUCUCUCUUUACAAAGAAAGACCUCUGCUCCAAACACACAGGUGUCAUCUACGAGAAAUCCAUUGGAAGCUUCAGUGAAAGCUUUAUGAGAGAUAAACUGAUCAAAUCCCAAUCAAGCCAUAUAAAAAAAUAUAUCAGAAAAUGAGACAAUACAUUGCAAAUAUGGGAAACAUAAGCUUAUCAGUCCUAUAAAUUAAGGAAAGUAAAUGGUUCCUUGAAAAACCAAGUAGUUGCCCUUAUUCUGAUCAAGUAAAAUCCGUUCCAAACUCUUGCUUAUCUGCUGUAAUUAUCUCAUGUUUAUUCCCAGUAGAUCUCUUCUUCUUAUCUUGAUAGAGUUGUGCAUCUAUCUGAUCUAUUUGUUCCCAUUAUCAAUUGUAAACACAUUCAUAUAAGUAAAACAUGACAACUCUCUUUGUGAUGAGAUUAGGGUUAGAGAACGUGUUUGAUGAGAACAGGGCCUUAAGCUUAUAUAGGGCUAGGUCAAGUCGUCUCUCCUCAUCAUCGAUGGCCGACUUGACUAAUCUUCCAAGCCCACCAAAAUAGUUCACGCAAAAAAGGAAAUAAAUAGGACCCCUUAAUAGGUUUCAAAACCUUUCCUUAUUCCAGAAGGUUUUGGGCCUCAAGGUAUAACUUAAUUUAAAUUCUUAUCAAAACCUGAUAUAAUUUAGUAUCUAGUGCGUCGAUCUAAAUAGUAAAACAUAACAUGGCUAUCAGCGCUCAAAAUUAAUUGACUAAUUGUCGUGUUUUACUUAUAUGAACGUGUUUACAAUUGAUAAUAGUAACAAAGAGACCAGAGAAUAGAGGCAUAACUUUGUCAAGAUAAGAAGAAGGGAUUUACAAGGAAUACAUAUGAGAUACUUAAAGAGAUAUUUAGUCAUAUACCCAUUCUUAGCACUAAAACUAUAAAUAAACUCUACAACAUUUAAUUUCUAUAAACAAACCCAAAAAAAAAAAAACCCAAAAAAUGACAACUGGCCCUAUUGAAUUUAAUUUUAAUUAUUGAAUUACUUUGAUGCCCUAUUGAUUGUUUUGGGCUUUUUUAUGAGGUUUUUGAGUUGAGUUUGUUUUAAGAAAUCAAUGACAGUUUUGUAAUUUAAAAGAAAUUAAAAGCCUUUUUGUUAUGUUAUAAAUGGGCUUUAUGUGUGUUUCUAAAGUCCAUUUCAUAUAUGGUUUUUUUUUUAUUUUAUAAUUUGGGCUCCUAUAUUGGGUAUAAUAGUGAAUCUCCCAUAAAGAGAUAUUAGAGAAAACGUUGGGCUAAUCUUUCCAUCUCCUCCCUUAAUUAUUCAUCUCAUCGUCCAUAUCAGUAACUCGUACGUAUCUGUUGUUCUCAGUUCAUUGUAUAUAUAUUUGAUUUAUUGUAAAGUCCAUAACCUUCAAUAAUGCCACAUCAUCUUUCCAAUGCCGACUUUUAUUUUAUUUUAUUUUAUGAAUAACAAGAAGAAGUUCAAUGUUAUCUAAAAAGUUUCAACAAAAAAGAAAAUGUUAUGUAACAAGAAAGAAGAAAACUUGUAACUUCGCUUUGUGCUCUGAGAAUUUGGUUGUCUAUAUUUCUUUUUCCUUUCCUGUUUUCAAUAUGUAUCCAUAAUACUCAGUAGUUAUGAAAUGGAUGAAGUUACACUGAAAAAAGAAUGAAGAGGAAAACAAAGAAAAGCAGAGGACCAAGAAGCCUUUCAGAAUAACUAAUAGCAUGUGAAUGAUCACACGUUUGAGAACAUUACACCCCAUAAAUUUCAUACAAUAGUAUAGGGCAUUAGAAAUUCCAUGGAAGCAAAGUUACAUGCCGGAAAAAUUUGCAUGAAAGAAAAGAAAAGGAAUGAUACCAUUAUUCGGACCACCUAAGGUCCGAAGAAGCGAUACAACCAUAUUAUUCAUAAGUGAUGAAUAUAUUUGAGGCAUGGUUUUUGAUACAUACAGCUACAGGCAGGAGCUUACUAUUUAUUUUAGUCUAGCGCACUAGCAGUUCCAAGCACAGUGACCUCUGCCUCUACAAUGGUACUAUCAUUCUCCAAAUACCCCAAGCUCUUAUCACUGAAAAUUCCCAGUGUAAUGAAUUUCGGCCAGCCCCGCUUUGGACUGGAGGCACUGAACCACCAAGUAGCUGGAAGAUGAGAUGAAAAAGAAGAAAAAAAUUGAAUGAAGGGCUAAAGACCAAUUAUUUAAAACCUCCUCACUGUGUAGGGGAUACAUAGAAUUAGGCCAAUCUUUUUACCUUUAGUACCAUAUUCAAAGUGACGGGAGCUGUACACUGGGUCUACGAGGCGAAGGGUAAACUGUGCAUAUAAUUUAGAGGUUGGAGACAGAGAUGUGGGAUCAGCCAAUGCCAAAUCAAUAGAAAGAUGGCUACCCUUCCCAUUGUCUCUUCCCUCGGGAUAGAACUCUAUCUUCCUGCAACAAGCGUUUUUCGAUUAGAUAACCUGCACUUGAUAUCUUCCACAGCAAGUUUAGUUUUUAUCUGCAAACUUAACAUCUCUUCUUUUGUUUUGUUUUGUUUUUGUUAUUAGUAAAAUUUCUCUAACAAAAGUGAUUGUUUACCAUCUUCAUGCAAGUAAAAUUUGCACAAUGAAAGAGAGAGAGAGAGAGUGAUAGACCAAGGAGGAAAUUAAAAGCCUGUCAAGAAGGAUAUAUUAAUCAAUAAGGAGACUUUUGCACCAUUUCUGGUCUCCAGCGAUGAAUGUUUCUGAGUCGUAGCUCUCCUCAUCUAACUUUGAAAAGUUUUCAAUUUUCCAAACAUGCUUGUACAUAACGGCAUCCUUGAUCAUUGAUAGACACUCUCCUUUGCAUGUGCUUCUUUCUUUUCGAACAAAGACCUCUGCUCCAAACACACAGGCGUCAUCCACAAGAAAUCCAUUGGAAGCAUCAGUGAAAUCUUUUUGAGAGAGAAAUUGAUCAAAUCCCCAGUCAAGCUUAAUCCCAUGGAAGCACCUUUCCUUUUGUUCUUCUAAGCAAUUAAUGACAAAAAAAAAAUUAAAAAAAUCAGCAUAUGAGGCAAUGCUUUGAAUGUAUAAGAAUAUAAUCUUAUAUGUUCUCUGCUGGUUGUAUAGGAAUGAAAUGAAAAGAAAUGGUACCUUCAAGAGCCAAGUACUUGCCAUUGUUCUGAUCAAGUAAAAACAACCCGAAAGCAGCAUACACUUCCCAACAGGUCUGGGGGCCAUUUGCUCCAGCCAAUACUAAGUAGAGAGAGAUGUGCUCUUUCACAUUCUUGCUCUUUUUUCCAUUUGGAUAGAAAGCCAGUUUCCUGUAGCAAAACCACAAUUGAGAGUACUGUAAUGCAGCUUGGAAAUAAGAAUAAAAUUAAGGCUAAUGAGAAAAUACAGAGUCUCACAAGUAUAAGAGCUUCUUUAGGAAACGAGAGAAAGAAUCAUACCAUUUGUAUCCUCCAGCUUCAAAGUCUUCCGAUUCAUAUCUCUCCAGUGAAUGUUUGGACAUCAAUGAAAACGACUGUAUUUUGAACGUGUAAUGAGUUGGCAUUGAAUCAGAAAAUGUUCUCAAAAUCCCUGCAAUUCAAAUGUUGGCAACACAAGGUAUCAGUAUCAGUGAUGUAUGUACAUUUGGUGUCCAUAACAUGCCAUGUUUACAUUAGCUAAUGCUUUCAACGCACACACUCAAACAGAUAGCAAGAGCACCUUACCGUAUUGGUCAUCGAAGUUAAGGUUAUUCAUGCUCAUGGUAGUAAACUUGACGACCGUGGAACUUUGAAGGUGCUGAUAAUUUGUUACAGAUUACAAGAAUCAAAAUGGGGCUUCAGCUUUUAAAAGGAGAAAUAAAAGGUGUUAUUCCAAACUUGAAGCUUUUUAAGGAUAUGACUGUUAUUCUUUGCUUCUGCACGAUUAUCUUCUCUCUCUUUUUCAAGGAAAAGGUCUCCAUGACCUGCUUGUAGGUGUUUUCAAUCAUGUACUUAUUGUUUAUUAAGGUUGAAGAGAGUAUACUCUCACCUUUUCUUGCCACACCUAGACCUGCACAUUCUUAUUAAACCGAACAACAUUGGGUUGUCAUUGCAUUGUUAAGUAGCCUUCUGCAUGCUGUAACGCAUGUCCGUUGAUCUCUCUGUAGAAACCGAGGAAGAAAGGAGCAGAGUACGGAGAUGGCUAUGCAUCUUCCUUCUUUCAAAGAUGACAAAUUCUAAUUUAUGUUGAUUAAAAAUUCUACUUUCAAAGAUGACAAAUUCUACAAGGUCAAGGUUUCUUCUGCUAAAAGAACAAACCGAGAUUAUAAUUUUUUGAAAAACAGAGAGCUCUGCUUCUGUUACUUUUUCGGUGUUAUAUGAGGAUCCUUUCGGAUUUCAGUACAGCCAGUCAUAUGGAUUCCAUGUAUGGAAGUCACAAGGAGGAUGCUGGUUUUCUGUUUUUGUGUUAUGGUAGCGAGAAAACUUGUGGCUAAUCUCUCCAUCUUCAUCUCCUUUCCCUAAUUAUCUAACUGUAAAAUUCAUAACCUUUGAUAAUGCCAUACUACCUUUCCCAUGUCCAUUUUUAACUAAUGUACAUCCUUCAUAUUACUGGGACCAAUAUUAUCUAACAAGCCAAGAAGAAAACUUGCAACCAUGCUUUUUCUGCUCUGAGAAUGUGCUUGCCUUUUUCUUUUUCUUUUCUAUUUUCAAUACAUUUCCAUACAACCCAGCAGAGACUAUAAAAUUUGUAAUAAUUGAAGAAGUUACAUGAAGAAAAAAAAAAAGGAAAACAAGGAAAAGCAGAGGAUCAAGAAGCCUUUCACAACAGAAGAGACACAACCAUGUCACAAGGAAAUGAGUUUUUUUUUUUAUUCUUUCAAACAUUUGAGAAAAUUGAAGAAAAUUAAACCCCUUAAUUUCAUACUACAGGGCAUUAGAAAUUCCAUGGACAGUGACCUCUGCUUCCACGAUGCAAGUAUCCUUCGACAAAAACCCCAUGCCUGCUUGGCUGAGAAAUCCUAGCGUUAUGAAUCUCCACCAACCGCACUCUGGAUUUGAGGUGCUGAACCAGAAGUUGACUACAAGCGCCCAGAAGGAUUUCCAGUUGAGUAUAUUGAAAACAAAGUUGAAAAGGUAAAAUAAAAUGAAACGAAAGAAGCCACAUCAUAAAUAGAGAAGACACCUUAUGACUAUCUAGCAAUAACACUAGGCCAAUUACCUUUACCAAACUGAUGCCUUGCAUUCACUUGGUCCAGGAUCCGUAGCGUAAAAUCUGCAUAGAUUUUAGAGCCUGGAGGAAGAGAUUUCGGAUCAGCCAAUGCCAAAUAAAGAGAAAGAUGAGUACCAAUUCCAUUGCCUUUUCCCUUGGGAUAGAGUUGAAUCUUCCUGCAACAAUCAGCCCACGAAGAAUAAGAAUACUUUUAGAUUACCUAUGAUUUAAAGUUUGAUCCUCGAGCAAUUUUUUUUGUUGGAAAAAAAACUUUAAUAUGAUGAUUGAUAAGAAAGCUUUAUGUAGGGAUACCAUUUCUGGUCUCCAGAAAUGAACGUUUUUGAGUCAUAGAAUUCCGCAUCUAACUUCGAGAAGUUGUCAAUUUUCCAAACAUGCUUGUACAUCACGGCAUCUUUUACCAUUGAUAGACACUCUCCUUUGCAUGUACUUCUCUCUUUACGAACAAAGAUCUCUGCUCCAAACACACUGGUGUCAUCUAAGAGAAAUCCAUUGGAAGCUUCAGUAAAAGAUUUCUGAGAGAGGAACUGAUCAAAUCCCCAAUCGAGCUUCAUCCCAUGAAAGCGCCUUUCAUUUUGUUCUAAGAGAAGUCAUAUAAAAAAAAUAAUGUCAGAAAAUGAGACAAUGCAUUGCAGAUAUGAGAAACAUACGCUUAUCUGUUCUAUGAAUUAAUGGAAGUAAAUGGUACCUUGAAGAACCAAGUAGUUGCCCUUAUUCUGAUCAAGUAAAAACAACCUGAAAACAGCAUACACUUCCCGAGAAAUCUGGGUAGCAUUUGCACCAGACAUUACCAAGUAGAGAGAGAUGUGAUCUUUCACAUUCCUGCCCUUGUUUCCAUUUGGAUAGAAAACCAGUUUCCUGUAGCAAAACCACAAUUGAUUUUGUACUAAUGCAGCUUGAAAAUAAGAAAGUACUGGCAACUAAUCCAAAUGAAGAUUAUGAGAAAAGACAGAGAUGUUGGAACUUGGUCUAGGAAAUGAAUUCUAACCAUUUGUACCCUCCAGCUUCAAAGUCCCCCGAUUCAUAUUUCUCCAAAGAGUUUUUGGCCAGCAAUGAAAGGGACUGUAUUUUUACUGUGUAAUGAGUCGGUGGGGCAUCCGAAAAGCUUCUCAAAAUCCCUGCAAUUAAAUGUUAAUUGGCAACACAACAAGAAGAAGAAGGAAAUAAGCUCGUACUUAGCUAGUACUUUCAACACACACAGCAUCUUUACCAUCUUGGGCAUCGAAGUUAAGACUGGUCAUCAUGAAACAAGCUUGACCACCGAACUUAAUUUGAUGAGAAUUUGACACUAGUUACAGAAAUGAGAAAGGGUUUAUCUGUUUUAGAACCAAAAUGGGUUUUCUGUUUUUAAAGGAAAAAUUUAAAGGUGUUAUUCUAAACUUGAAACUUUUUAAGGAUAGAACUGUUAUGCUUUGCUUCCUUAGGAUUGUCUUUCUUGCAAGGAAAAGGUAUCCAUGACCUUCUUUUAGGUGCUCUGAAACAUUUACUCAAAAUGGUACACGUAUUAUUCACCAAGAAAGCCAUAACUCAUAAGUAAAACAAUUCCAUACAAUCAUUCAUUAAGGAUUGUGUUUUAACACGGCAAAUGGACUGACAAUACAUUACACCCCCAUAGCUUGUAUACCACAAGCUUAAUUACUAUUCUAUGCUUUGACAAUUCCAUGGACGGUAACUUCUGUCUCCAGUAUCCUUCACUAAAAGCUCGAAGCCGGCUGACUCGCUGAGAAAGUCCUCUACUGUAAUGAAUGUUUGCCAACCAUUUCAUUGACUUGAGGCACUGAACCAGCAAUGGCCUGCAAACAGUGAACAUGCCUCAUUAAUUAGAUAAACAUUUCCUUCAAACUCACUUCCUCCAAUUAAUGUACCUGCGAACAAGAACCGAGAAAAAACCAAACUGAACAGGCACAGAAAUAAACACAAGUUAAGAUCAACACACACGCGAGGGUGUUUUGCUUGUGCUCCCUCAUUUGCCUUGCCAAGCAAGCCAAGUAUUUUCUUUUCUCAUCUUUCAUUUGCUCCAUGACUCCCACUCCCAACCCUGUGCUAGGCAAUUCAGCUCCCCAACUCUCUUACUGAUUUACCACCAGACCGUAACCUAUCCACAACCACCAUGAGAUACCAAAAAACUAAUAUAAAAAAAAACAAAAACAAAACAAAAAAACCUGGCAAGAUUAACUACUGGCUCCCAAUUACUCACAGAGUAUACUCUGCGAAUCGUAGAUCAAUUGAACGCCAAGCAUAAGAGUCUGAGAUGUAAACAAGUGGCCUAAUAUAUAUUUCUUUUUAAUUUUCUUCUCAAUCCUGAUUUGUCUUUUCUUUUUUUCUCUCUUUUUGUGUGCUUGCAGCCAGUUAUACCUGGUUCAAUGCCUUGACUCCGGCUUGGGGUAGGCAGACUUUCAUUAAAUUGGGCACUUUCAAAAUGUCAGACCAGGUUUAUUUGGUGAAUAAUGCUCGGGGUCGAGGCAUAGGUCACUGUCCAUGGAAUUGCUAAAACAUUAGAACUAGCUAAAGCUUAAAAUGCUAGAUCUGGAGAUUGGAAGAUGAAGAAGAUGUGGGUUGUAAAUUAUGGUAUUGUCAUGAGGGACUUUGUUGUAAAUUAAGUGGGUUGUACUAAAAAUUAGUAAAAUACGUAGGUGCUCAAGACUUGUACAAAAGAAUGAUUGUAAUAAAAAUUAAGAAGCUUUGGUUUAUAGUAAUUAUUAGGGGUGAGUACAAUCCGGUUCAGUCCGAUUAUUUUCGGUUCCAAUCCAGCUUCAAAUUUGCAUGCAAUUCUGAUUCCAUAUCUGCAAAAUCUGAAUCCAGAUCUACAAGAUUUGAACCCAGAUAUACAAGAUCUGAACCCAGAUAUACAAGAUGAACCCAUAUCUAUACAAGAUCUUAACAAGAACAUAACCCAUCUCCAAAAACUUAACCCAUAUCUGUACAGAAAACGAAGGAAAAAAAAAAAAAAAAAACAGAAACAGAAAACACAGAGUUGCAAAUAGAGAGGGAGAGAAACAUAAAACAAACAAAGAAAAAAAAUUGAGUAAUAGAAAAACAGAGAAAGAGAGGAAGAAAGAAUCAGUGAGAAAGAAGAGAGGAAAGAAAGAAUAAGGGAGAGAGAAGAAAAAAGAAAAGAAAGAAGAAAGGAGAGGAAAGAAAGGGAGAGAGAGAAAUCGGAGAAAAGAGGAGAGAGAGAGAGAGAGAAUGAGUGAAGUGAGGGUGAAGUGGCGUGUCAGACCAAAAGAAAAGAAAGUGUUGUUGGGUGGGAUUAGGAAGGGUUAGGAAACAGCAUACAUUUCCCAAGAAAUCUGGGCAGCAUUUGCACCGGGACAUUACCAAGUAGAGAGAGAGAUGUGCUCUUUCACAUUCCUGCCCUUGUUUCCAUUUGGAUACAAAACCAGUUUCCUGCAGCAAAGCAACAAUUAAGAUGAAGGAUUAUGAGAAAAGACCGAGAUGUAAGAAGUUUGUCUAGGAAGGUGUAGAAAAUAUAUUUCCUUGUAUUUAACAGAUUACACGAAGUCCUUAUUUAUACUAGUACAGGAUAUCUACUUAAGGUAGGAAAGAUUAAUUGCUAGGAGGAGAUUGUGAAGUUGACUUCCGUGUAGGCUAGGAAAAGAAAGCUGUGUUAACACCCCCCGCAAACUGGGCGUCCCAGGAUGCACAAGUUUGGAAGACAUAUGCUGAUAGCGUGGUUUGUGAAGGGCUUUGGUGAACAGGUCCGCAGGUUGGUCGACAGAAGGAACAAAGCAAACUGGAUGACUUCCAAGAGCCACCUUUUCAUAGACAAAGUGAUAGUCUAACUCAAUGUGAUGUGUGCGGGCAUGGAAAACUGGAUUGGCAGCCAUGUACAUGGUGCUGAGAUUGUCACAAAAGAGUUGGAUAGGGAACCGAAGACGCACACCCAAUUCAUGAAGAAGAGAGCAUAGCCAAGUGGUUUCGGUACAAGCAUGAGAGAGUGCACGAUAUUCUGACUCUGUACUAGAGCGCGAGACUGUGAGAUGCUUCUUGGAACAUCAUGAGAUGAGAUUAGUUCCAAGAGUAAUCAUAUAUCCAAUGGUCGACCGACGAGAAUUGGGGCACCCAGCCCAAUCCGCAUCAGAGUAGGCGGAGAGCCGAGCGGCGGCAGUUUGAGGAGUGAAGGUGAGGCCGAGAUCAAUAGUGCCCUUGAUGUACCUAAGUAUCCGUUUGGAGGCAAUAAGGUGAGAGGUACGAGGAGCACUCAUGAACUGAGCAAUAGUGUUGACUGCAAAAGAUAUGUCAGGGUGAGUAAGAGUGAGAUACUAUAAACUGCCAACAAGCUCGCGAUACUCCAUUGGGUUGGAGAUGAGAGCACCAUCAGAGACAGAGAGGAGAACCUUGGCAGCCAAUGGAGUAGAUGCGAGUUUGGAGUUGAGAAGAUUGGCUUUCUGUAAAAUAUCAUGUGCAUAUUUGAGUUGAUUGAUGUGAAGAGUACCAUCUUUAUGAAGAACUUGUAAACCCAAGAAAUAGCUGAGUAGACCAAGGUCUUUGAUGUCAAAGUGGCCACCUAAAAGAGAGAUGAAUUGUUGGAGGUGAGUGGAAUCACUGCCAAUUACCACGAUGUCAUCAACAUAUAGAAGGAGAAAUACGGUAUGGGACGCCUGUUGAAAAAUAAAUAAUGAAGUGUUAGCUUGGCUCCAUGUAAAGCCCAUAGAGAGAAGGAAAGUAUUGAAGCGAUGGAACCAAGCACGAGGUGCUUGUUUGAGGCCAUAGAGUGCUUUGUGAAUCUUGCAAACAUAAGAAGGACGAGUGGGAUCAAUAAAACCAGGGGGUUGAGCCAUGUAGACAUCUUCUUGAAGAAAUGCAUUUUUGACGUCAAGUUGACAAAGGGACCAACCACGAGAAACUGCAAGACUAAGAACAGUGCGAAUGGUGGCAGGCUUGACAACAGGACUAAAGGUUUCAGCAUAGUCUAUGCCCAGACGUUGAUGAAAACCCUUGGCAACUAGACGAGCUUUGUAGCAUUCAAUGGAGCCGUCAGAGUGACGCUGAAUUUGAAAACCCCACUUGCAGCCAACCAAGUUCUGAGACGGAGAGGAAGGAACCAAAGACCAUGUAUGAUUUUUGAGGAGUGCAUUGAUCUCUUCAGUCAUAGCGUCACGCCAUUCAGUAUGCUUAGUGGCUUGUGAAAAACAAGUAGGUUCAGUAUGCUCAACAACAGUUAAUAAGGCACGGGGAAGAGGAUAUUUGACAGUGUCGUUAGUACGAAGCUUGGGCUUUUGAAUGCCAUCCUAAAGGCGGGUGCGCAUGUGUGGAACAGGGGCAGGAGAUUACAGAGCUGCUGGAACUUGGGGUUUUUGAGCUACUGUAACCAGGGGGUUCGGAGCUGCUGGAACUAAGGAGGUCAGAGCUACUGGAACAAGGGGGUUCGGAGCUACUGAAACUGAGGCAGACGCAAGCGGAGAAAGCUAUAUGCGAGGGUGUCGGGAAUAAGUUUAGAGCAAGGGCUAGGAUAAAGCAGAAGAAGUGUCGUUGAGUGGACCCGAGGGUGCGGCGGGGUCAUGGCUUGAGACUGCAACAGCUGGAAAGGUGCGCACCAGGGAGGUGCCGUGAGGUUGCGAGUCUGAGUCUGAGUUUGUGGCAGGAGUAAUUGAUAUGGGCACAGGUGUAGAGGAGGGCAGAAUUGGGUGGAAUUCAAUAUCCACAUACUCUGAAGAAGAUGAUACCUGCAAAUGCUUAAAUGGAAAAUGCAUUUCGUUAAAUAAAACAUGACGAGACGUGUAAACACGAUCCGUGGAGGGAUGUAAACAACAGUAACCUUUAUGGUGAUAACUGUAUCCAAGGAAAACACAUUCAAUGGUGCGAUUGGUGAGUUUAUUUUCAGUAUAUGGUCCAAGGUAAGGGAAACAAAAACACCCAAACACUCGGAGAUGAGAGUAGGAAGGAGGAUGUUGGAAGAGACGAUUGUAUGGAGUGUCCCAUUGAAGAUUAGGAGUAGGUAGGAGGUUUAUGAGAUGGACAUCAAUGAGGGCAGCUUCAACCCAGAGAUUGUGGGGAGUGUGAGAAGUGGUAAGGAGGGUACGGAUCAUGGUGGCAAUAUGUCUGUGUUUACGUUCAGCUAGGCCAUUUUGUUGGAGAGUGUGGGGACAUGAGAAACGUUGAUGGAUGCCUAGUUGACUGCAAAGAUCAGAGAAAGCUUUAUUAACAUAUUCAGUGUCAUUGUCACUUUGAAGGAUUUGUACAGUGGUGUGAAAUUGAUUUUUAACCAUGGCAAGAAAGGUUUGAAAGUGAGAAAAGACCUCAUUUUUACGAUGCAUAGGAUGGAUCCAGGAGUAACGAGAAAAUUCAUCUGUAAACAAGACAUAAUAGCGAUAACCUGUGACAGAAAUGACAGGGGACAUCCAUACAUCAGUGUGAAUUAAAUAAAAGGGAGAUGGGGCAAAGGUUUUAUUACUAAGAAAUGACAGUUUGGUGGAUUUGCUAAGUGCACAAUCCUUACAAAAAGCAUUUGAAACUUUAAAGCCUAGAGACGACUCUAAAUGAGAUAGCACAAAUGGGAUGGAUGGCCAAGGCGACGAUGCCAAGUAGGAGAGUGCAUGGUGGUAAGGGCACGGGGGACUGUGGAUGAGUGAGAGGAAAGGGAAAGUGGGUAAAGACCAUCUUUAGAAGGGUCCUAAAAGAGUAAUGAACCAGUACGUAAGUCAUAGAUUUAAUAAAAGUUAGGAGUAAAGACAAAGAAAACUAAAUUAUCACGAGUAAAAUGGGCAACAGAAAGAAGAUUAGUACGAAGAGAUAGAAGACAAAAAACAUUUUGAAGAGAAAAUUUGUGAGAACCUAAAGGAAGAGGAAGAAAGCCAGUAUGAGAGAUAGAGAGAGAAUCUCAAUUACCAAGAAAUACAGAAUUAUUACUUGAUAUGGUUGUUGAUUUUGGAGAUUAGAAGGACUACCAGUCAUGUGAUGAGUGACACUUGUGUCAGGGUACCAAGUAGAGUUAGGUGGCUGUAUAAAUUGAGCCCCAGCAAAAGAAGGAAAGGAUUAUGGGCCACUGUAGCGAUGGGGACAUGUUGAAGUAGUAUGUUGAUUAGUAUUGCAGGUGGUGCAUCAAGCAGGUCCCAAGACACCAGGAGCUGAGUUGGGUCAGGAAGAGUAUUUGCUAGAAGCGGCAGAUUGGGCCCAAGGAGGUUGAAAGGAAGGCCAGUUGCUUUGAGAUCCAGAACUUGGAGAAAAAUGAGGCAACAGUUGAUUAGGCCAUUGGGGCUACUGGAAGCCAUUCCACGGGUUGCUCUAGGAAGAUGAGAAGUUGCGCUAGCCACCAUGGCCGCGACCGUGCCAGCCAUCACUGCCACCACGCAUGUUGCUGGAAGAGCCGCCACCACACGAUGAGAAGGGAAGGAAGUAUGACCGGUGGUGUAAGGAGAGGAUUAGGUGACCAUUAGUGCUGUGUUUUGAUCAAGAGAGAUUCGGGGACCUGUGCGUCAAAUGCUAACAAAUGAGCACGAAGAUCAGCAAAGUCAGGAAGCGGAGGAAAAUUGAGAAUUGUAGCGACGAGCAUUUUGUAAUCAGGUCCUAAACCCCGAAGCACAGCAGUGACAAGUUCUUUUGGGGAGACAGGUUCAUUGAUGGCAGCCAGUGAAUCGGCAAGGGACUUAGCAUGACGAAGGUAAGCAUCAAUGGGUUGAGAGCCUUUUUACAAAUCUAUGAGUUGAAAACGAAGAGCAGAUUCACUGGCCAUACUGGAUUGAGAGAAGUGGCGUUGGAGACACUCCCAGAGAUCCCGGGCAGAGGUGCAACCGACAGUGAGAGAGAGAAUGGACUUAGAGAGUGUACUGGUGAUGUAGCUAACAAUGAGUUGGUCUUGUUGGUACCAAUGAGCAUGGGCGGGAUUGGUUUGGGUAAGAGUGGUGGUGGUGGUGGUGGUGAUGGUUAUGGGUGUUUCGGUGGUAGAGGUGGAGGUGUGGGAAGAAGGUUGUUUAUGAGUGCCAUCGAUGAAUUUCCAGAGGUCAUGACCAACUAAAAAGGGUUUGAGUUGGCGGAGCCAAAGAACAUAGUUGGAGUCAGUAAGCUUGAUACAAUGAGAAGAUUUGGGGCUUGGGAGGGAGAUGGUGGAUUCAGACGAAGCCAUGAGGUGGACCUAAAGGAGAAGAGGAUCGAAUAAGGGAGAGGGAGAAAACCCUAGGUUAGGCUAAUACCAUGUACAAAAUAUAUUUCCUUGUAUUUAAUAGAUUACACAAAGUCCCUAUUUAUACUAGUACAUGAAAUCUACUUAAGGUAGGAAAUAAUAUAGACAUGAAUACAAUCCGAUUUACAGCAAGAAAGGCUAAUUGCUAGGAGGAGAUUGUGAAGUAGACUUCCCUGUAGGCUAGGAAAAGAAAGCUGCGUUAACAGAAGGAGAGAACAAAUUCUAACAAGAUAAGUAUCAAGGAGAGCGUACUUUUAUUAAAGGGAAAGUAAUUCCAGAGCUAACUUGGAUGCCAUGAAAACAUUCUCUAAGUUGAGUUGCUGAUCGCAUAGGUCAAGACCCUUAUAAAUAUGGAGUUUAAACGCAAAAUAAAAACACAAAACCUCUACACAUUUCAAACAUAUAUGUUCAAAGAUUACGCAGAUUUCAAGCACACUUAAAACAAAGGGUAAGAUUAACUCGAAAAUAUCGCGCAAACAUCCUUUUUGGCACUAUUGUUUCUACAAUCUACACACAUAUGAAGCUAUAUUAUAUAUUGAGUUGUGGUUUUCCCUCCCUUGUUUCAAUUAGUCAAUAGUCUUCUCCAAGCAAAGGGUCGCUGUUUAUCCUCAGAAAAUUUGUUGGUCAAUUUUAUUGCCAUGACUACCCUUAUAUUUGACCAAGAUGGUAAGCCACCUUCUCUGUCUCUCUAUAUUUUGUGUUUUUACUCUAAACGCUACGUGAUAGAAAUUUUAUGAUUUUUUUUUCCAGGUCUUUCGAGAUCACUUUCAAAUUCACCACCAACUCAUUACACUCUAACAAUAGAGUCAUUUUCGAUGCUAACUGAAAAUUCAGUGGAUACAUAUGAGUCUGGGGAGUUUGAUGCUGGAGGAUACAAAUGGUAAAUCGUGUUUUCUUAAUUAUUUUCUUCCUUUUCACUUUUUGUGUGGAUAUAUGAUAUAUAAUAUAUAAUAUACCUUGGAUAUACAUAAAGCUUCCAUUAAGCUUAUUUUGAGGAAUUCCUCUUGUGGGUUCACUGCAUUCACUACUAUAAAAAACACUCUGCGCAACGAAAUAAGUUUGUUGCGCAAAGUACAAUUUCGUCGCACAAAACCUAAGCAACGAAAUUUUGGUCUCGCGCAUGAUCCGUCACACAAAUCUUGUGAAGAUAGGGUUUGCGCGACGAAACCUAAUCUUCGUCGCGCAGAGCUUUGCGCGACGAACAUUAACGUCGUGCAGAUCGACCUUGCGCGACGAAUACUAACGUUGCGCAAAUAUUUGCCCAACAAAAUAUUUCAAAUAUUUUAAUUUUUGUGUUUUAAAUUUUUUUAAUUAAAAUAAACUAAUUUAAUAGUUUGCGCUACGAAAUAUUUUGUCGUGCAAGGUUUUUGACUUUUUGUUUUAUUAUUUCUCUUAUAUUAAUUUAUUCAAAUUUUUACUUUUUAAAUUUAAUUUAAUUGUAUGAUUUUUUUUAAUUACUUUAAUUUAAAUUGACAUAUUUAAAAUAAAAUUACAUAUGAAAAAUAGUGAUCAAAUUAUCCAAUAUAUAUAUACAGUCCCGAUCUCUUGGACCACAGGAGUCCAAGAGAUUUGUGGUCACUCACCGUUGGAUGUAAAUUCAACGGUUCACUCAAUCUUGAACUCCUUUUAAUAAUAUUCAAAAUGUACACAUAAAUUAAUAAAGUACAAUAAUAAAAUCCUAAUACAAGCCUAUUGUGGUGGUAGUGGCGGAUGAUAUGUUUCGAUAGCGUCCUAAUCCUCAACUUUAGCCGUCAAAGUCUCGACGAUUCCCUACCCAAAAAAAAAUGUGGUCAAAUAACAAAAAAAUUGGCAUAAUCUCCCUAAAAUUGUUAUACCACAACUCCAACCCAAACUCCAAUCCUCACCCUAUACUCAACCCCAAACCCCACACAAACUCAAAACUAACUCCAAAAACACAUAUUAAUGAGAAAAAAAUUUAAAAUUUGGAGAGAAUAUACCUUUUGGCAAGAUUGAGAGUGAGUGAGAAUAAGAGGGAGAAGUGAGUGUGAGAGAAUUAGAGAAGAUAGUGAGAGAGAGAUGAGAGAGUGAGUGAGAGUGAGAGAUAGUGAAAGGAGACAUGAGAGAGUGAGUGUGAGUGAGAGAUAGUGAAGAGAGAGAUGAGAGAUUAAGUGAGAGGAAUGAGUGUGAGAGAAAGGGUCGGAUUUGGGGAGAGGGAAAGAGAGAUGAGAGGUAAGAGUAGAGAAAGACAUUGAGAAAAUGGUGGGGGAGUUAUUUUAGUUUUAAAAACCGUAUCACUUUGCGCGACGAAAUAUUGGUCAUGCAAAGUCUUAAAAAAAAUUUAUAAAAUAAAAUAAAAUUCCCGUGUCCCAUUUUUGGUGCCCGCCCAAAUUUUUAGAGUUUUACGCGAGGAGUUGUUGGUCGCUCAAAGUUUUGCGCAAACCAAAAAUUCCCGCGUCCCUUUUUUGGUACCCGCCAAAUUUUUAGAGUUUUGCGCAACGAAUUGUUGGUCGGAGAGACGAAAAAUUGAUUCGUAGCGCAAUAUUUAUAAAAUAAUUUUAUUUUACCAUUUAAGAUAUAAAUAAGGUUAAGGCAACCAAAUGUGUUUUUGUCGUGCAAAUAAAAUAAUAAAAAAUAAAGAAAUAAUUUAGUUUAACAAUAUAAAAUAUAAAAAUAAGUAACUAAGGGUUAGGCGACGAAAUAUUUACAUUCGUUGAGCAAAGUUUUCAAAAAAUAAUAAAAACAUAUGAAAAAACUAUAUCUUAAAAUUUAUAAUGUAUAAUUAAAUACAAAAAUUAAUUGGUUUGCCCGACUCAUGUUUACAUCAUGACGUCAUGGUAUUGGUUUUUGCACAACGACCCCAUUUUUAUAUUUUAAAAAAAAUAUAUAUAUUAUUAUUAUAAAGUUUACUGAAAAUGUGACUAUACUCCCUUCAAAUUCAUUUUUUUUAAAAACAUAAAACCCACAAUAAUAUAUUUUUCUAACAAAAACCCAAUCCUAACUACAUAAAUAUAUAUACUAUAUUCAAUUUCUUAAGUGUUAUACGUACAAAAUAAAUAAAUUUAAAGCUACUUAAUAAAUAAAUCAAUAAAUAAUAUAUAUACACACACACCAUUCAACGAUCCAACCGUCAAAUUUGUUUAUAUAUACUUUCGAGAUCGUAUACCUCAAAAAUUGCAAAAAACAAACAUUCAGAGAUAUAGUAAUGGGACAAAACUUUUCGACGGUUAUAAAUAAAAAAUCUCUAUUUAACGGUUAUUUUAACUCCGAUUUUGAUUAUUUUUUACAACUACGCUCCUUGACCCUAUAUGAAUACAAUGAUUGAAUUUGAUCUUCAAUUUAAAAUAUUUACACUAGUGGAUACCACAAAAUCUUAUGUUAUAUUUAUCGAAAGUAUAAAUAAACUCUUAAUUGUUAGUGAAUAUAUUAUUUUAAUGGCAUACGCAUUCUACAAAACUAGUUUCAACGAUCUAACCGUGAAACUCGUUUGUUUAUACAUUCGAGAUCAUAUACGCCAAAAAUCGGAAAAAAUAAACAUUCAGAUAUCAAGUAAUGUGACAAAACUUUUCAACGGUUAUAAACGAAAACAAAAUCUCAUUUGAAUCCAAAGAGUGCUAGCGUUUGGACUUUGCUUCACCCCUUUUCUUUAAUUUUUCUGUUGUAACCAUAGUGCCAGUGUAGUUUGGAUUGGUCACCAAUGCCAGAGGGGGUGAAAAGUGGGAGGGAGGAGGUUGAGGAGAACGUGUAGUAAAUUGUUUUUGAAAGGAGACGUGUUUUAAUCUAAAAUACAAUAAAACUUCUAACUCAAAUUUAAUGACAUGACGUGUCCAACCUGGCUGCCACAUUAAAAACAAAAUUAUGGCAAGAGUAGCAUUAUUGUUUUUUUUUUUUAAUGUUUGUUCACUGCAGGAAACUGGUGGUGUACCCAAAUGGAAACACGAAGAAGAAUGUAGAAGACCACAUCUCUGUCUACUUAAAAAUGGCAGAAGCAAAUUCACUUCAGAGUGGUUGGGAAGUAUCUGUUGAUUUUAGAUUGUUUUUGCUUGAUCAGAAUAAGGGAAUCUACUUGGUUCUUCAGGGUAUAUAUUCAUUAUACAUAUCUUCUAUCUCUUUAAUUGGAGUUAUGCAUCCUUGCAUUUUUCAUGAUCUCUUGAUUUUUCUUGCUUAUCAGAUGCUAAUAUGAACAAGAUGUGCUUGCACGGGGCGAUGCUCCAAGUGGGUUUUGAUAGAGUAAUCCCUCUGAAAGCAUUUUCUGUUGCUUCCAAUGGCUAUCUCAUUGAUGAUACUUGUGUUUUUGGAGCCGAGGUCUUCGUUUGCAAAGAAAGAAGAGCGGGCAAGGCAGAGUGUCUGUCAAGAAUCAAAAAGGCUUUUAUGAACAAGCAUUGUUGGAAGAUUGAGAGUUUUUCAACGUUCAAAUCCCAACGCUUGCAAUCUGAACUAUUCACUGCAGGAGGGCAGAAAUGGUGGGUAUCUCUGAUGAUAUUAUUAAUUAAACCUUGUUAAUUAUUCAUCUAAUUAAACUUGUUGCAGGAAGAUAGAGCUCUAUCCCAAGGGAGAUGACCAUGGAGAGAAUACUCAUGUUUCUGUUUACUUAAGAUUAGCUAAUCCAGAAAAGCUAUCUCCUGUCUCCCAAUUACUUAUAGAGUAUACUCUGCGCAUCGUAAAUCAAUUGGACGGGAAGGAUAAGAGUCGGAAAUGUAAAACAUGUGGCCAAAUAUAUAUUUCUUCUUUUACUUUUGUUUUUUUUCCUCUUUCUUUUUAAUUUUCUUCUCAAUCCUGACUAGUCUUUUUUUGUGUGCUUGCAGCGAAUCAUACAUGGUUCAGUGCCUCGAGUCCGUCUUGGGGUUGGCCUUGUUUCAUUAAAUGGGACAGUUUCAAAAUGUUAGACAACGGUUAUUUGGUGAAGAAUACUUGCUUGGUCGAGGCCGAGGUCACUGUCCAUGGAAUUGCUAAAGCAUUAGAGCCAACUGACGAUUAAAAUACACCUGGUAUGAAAGAUCUGGAGAUUGGAAGAUGAAGAAGAUGUGGGGCAAUUGGAGGAAGAACGCAAACCCGAAGAUUGGAAAAGGUAUUGUAAUGAGGGACUUUGUUGUGAAUUAUGUAGGUUGUACUGCAAAUUAGUAAAAUACGUAGAUACUCAAGACUUGUACAAAAGAAUGACUGCAAUAAAAAUAAUUUAAUUUAAUUUAAAAUUUUUUUUUUAAUAAAAGAAGUUUGCAUUUUGUUAUUGAAUAAAAAAAAAAGGGUUAAUUGAUGAUUUGCCCCUGAUUUUGUAGGUAACUUUCAAUUUACCUAUUUACAUUUUUUUUUAAAGAAAAUUAAGGACCCCAAUUAACUUUUAUUGUCAAUAUCCCCCACCGUCAAUUUUUCUGUUUGUCCUUGCCAUUAUUUGCCUAAACAAUAGCUUUUGUGUUUUCCAGCACAUUCAGACCUAGGAUUGGUCCAGUAUUUGGAAUAGAUAAAUGAGGAGGAUUCAGAUCGAGAUCUCCUAUGCCACUGGUAUGGCCUUGAUACCAAGUUGACGUUCUCACAGGCAUUCCAAAGACUGUGAGAUCAGGUUGGUCCCCUUCGGACUGCCUUUCUCUCAUAUUGGGGAAGCUAUUAUGCGAACGCAAUCUUCCUCUAGGCUCUGGAUAGCCUUGGUGUUAUUAUCCAACUUCUCUAACAUUUUGACCAUUAGUUGUUCCAUUAGAGUCAGUUCAAGCUGCAUUGCUUGAACAUCUUUAUCUUCAAUUUCCACAGCGGCAGCAUUGCUUUUAUGAGGAGGAUCCAUCCCAUAUAGAUUUUCCUGCGAGUUUUAUUGACCAUACAAGUGAUCCCAUUAGGCGUGCCAAAAAUAUAUUCGUCAUGUUUUGAACAUUGUGAUGCCCCUGGCCACUAGUAGACUGUACUUUAGCAACUAGCGGUUACUUGUUGGUGAAGGAAGUGAAAUGAGAGAGAUCCGAGCCCUGAAGUGGGCUCAAAAGCUGCUCUCUGGUGAAUUGCGAUAGGCAUGCCACUACUAGUGAUACUGCUAGAAAAAGGGGGUAGAGUGGUGAUAAUGUUGUGAAUGUAUUGCAUUCAUGUGAUCUUAACCUCUAACCAAAGCCACUGUUCUCUAAAGAGGGGAAUCUGGCUUUAGAUAGGUUCUUUUCUAUACCUCAAUGAAGAGGACUUCAAUAUUUCACUUGUUAUGGAAUAAAAACAGGAUGAAUGAUGAUUUUAGACUGUCAUUGGACAGAAAGUAAAAUAACAUAUCUUGAAUGAGAAGUGUCCGAUGGACACAGUACAAUUGUUGGAAAGUAAAUAUACAAGUCCAAAGGGACUGCAAUGAACUUAAAUAAAGUAAAGAAAUGUCCAAAUAAAGCCAAGAAAAGCCUUAUCGGACAGAAACAAACCUUAUUUGACAAAACUGCAAUCUACUUGAGACAAUGCAGUAAGUAUGGUCGCACGGCGAUACUCUUUAAAUAUAAUAUAAUUAAAUAGUAUGGCCGCGCGGCUGUACUGUUUAAUUAUAUUAUAUUUAAACAGUAUAGCCGUGCGGCUAUACUAUUUAUUGAAAAACAAUUGAAAACUGAAGUAUAGCCGCUCGGCGAUUCUUUAAUCAUGCAAGUAAUAAAUAAUGUUACCAAGAAGGUUGGAAGCAAUGCUUUCAUUCAUAUUCACACAAGCCAAGAACAGAAUUUUAGCACUAUGUGCAACAACAUUACACCUGCCUGCCUGAAUUAAACAUAUGAUAGAAUUAAGCAGACUUGCAGUGUUUCAGAAGUUCCGUGGAUGGUAACCUCUGCUUCCACUAUGCAAGAAUCCUUCACAGAGAAACCCCUGCCUGCCUGAUUGAAAAGGUCCAGUUUAAUGAAAUUUGAAGGAUCCCAACAAUAGAUUAAUGUAUCUGGACCCUGUUUUGCAGCUCCAUUGAAAAGUGUGUUAAAAAUUUAACACAGAAAUUGGACUCAAAUCAAAUACCAAACAGGCCCUAAGAGGCCUUUACAUUUAUAAGAAAGAUGAUUGGCAAGCUUUUGAUCUACAAGGCGCAGAGAAUACUCUCUGAAUAUUCUGUAGCCAGGAGGAAGUGCUUUUCGAUCUGACGAUGCCUAGGAAAGAGAAAGAUGCUUACCCUUGCCCUUGCCCUUGCCAUGUCCCUUGGGAGAGAGGCUUAUGAUCCUGCAACAACCAACACGUGAAGAAAAAGAAACUUUUCAAUUUCUUAUAUUUGGAAGCAAGAGGACAUAACGGGAUUAUUGAUCGUUGAUAUACACUUUCCUUUGCCUAUAAUUCUUCCUUCAGAAGCAAAGACCUCAGCUCCAAACACACAGGUGUCAUCAAUGAGAUAUCCGUUGGAAGCAUCCGCAAAUGAUUCUAGCGGGAUAAAUUGAUCGAAAUCCGAACAAGGCAUCUUCCCAUGAAAACACUCUACUUUUUUAUUGGCAUCUAAUUGAAGCAACAUGAAAGUUUAAAAGGAUCAGCAAAUGACCAAUGUGUUUGAAAAAUAUGAAACUAUGAAAAGAAGUAGUUGGCUACCUGCUGGAUGAGAAUCAGACUGAAGUAGAUAAUACCUUCAAGAACCAAGUACGUGCCGUUAUUUUGAUAAAGCAAAACAAUCUGAAAAAGGUAGAGAGAGAUGUGGUCCACCACAUUCUUCUUCAAGUUUCCAUUUGGAUAAAACCUCAGUUUCCUGUGCGCAAUCAUAUCAUAUAGUAGUCUUAUACCAUCACAAGAUAUGCACUGUGAAAAUAAAGAUAAGAUGAAGAUUGAACAUAAUUUACCAUUUGUGUCCUCCUGCUUCGAAUUCCCCUGACUCAAUACUAUCCACAUAAUUUUUGUUCAGUGAUGAAAAUGACUGUAUUUUCAUAUUGUAAUGAGUUUGUAGUGAUUGUGAAAAUGACCUCAAAAUCCCUGAAACCAAAUAAUACAGCAACACAAGAAGGCACAUAGAGAUAGAAGCAUUAGGGUGCUGAAGUCUUAAUGCAUAUAUUCCUUUAGUCUAUAAUUGUAGAAUUUCCUUUGUGUAAGGUUUACACUAAGACACGGUCACACAGCACGGAAUGUUGUUGAGACAGAGAAAUUAUCUUACCAUCUUGGUCGAUGUUAAGAGUAGCCAUGGCAGUAAAGUUGACCAACGAACUAUUUUUUAGGAUAAACAGCAAUAUAUACUUCGCUUCAAGAAGGCUGCCCUUGUUGACAAACUGAAACAAAGGAAGGAAUUAGCUUGAUGCACAUUAAACAAGGUAUUUCUACAUUCAUUGGUUGUGCAAUCAAUCUCUUCGUUUUCCAAUUUUAUUAAGCCAAAGGAAAUAAUGUCAUAUGGAAAUAGAAAUAUUUUUGCUCACCACUUUAACCCAAGUUGUAUGCUCACCAUCCUUCUUAAUACUUGACAUAUGUCCAUAAGCAUAACCUCUUCUGCAUCAAUUUCCAAGAGAAGAAAACGGCGGCCCAUCUGACUAUUUCAGACGAGGAUCAUUACAUCCGAGAAUUCUCCUACUUCAUUAGGUUUAAUUAUCUUGCUUAUAGCCAACACAAUGUAGUAAGUCGUUGAACCAUAUUGAUCUUAUAACUUGGUUUGGCAUAUAUGUAGAACAAUGUGAAGUGAGCACACAUGAUAUGGCUACAUGGAGUUAAGUAUGAACAGGCAGUGACUUGCAUCUUACAUGUCUUUUCUUCAUACAUUACCAAAUAUAAUUGAGAGAAUUUUGUCACUUUGCAAGAGAAAAAAACCAAUAUAACCUUAAACUUCAAAACAGUUGAAUACAUGUCUUGACUUCAAUACAAUGGUAGUGUCGUAAAAAAACGUACAUAAACCUGAAAAAGGACACAUGAGGAUCCAUUGUAACUUCACCACCACCAGGUUCUCUUAUAAAGAAACCUCUCCAAACUAUACAUGCCAAACCUACCACUCUAACUUUUUUUUUUUUUUUGGUCAAGACCACUCUAACUUUAGCUCUAGGAAAAUUCAAGAACAUGUUUUGAACACAAAAUAUUACAUUACUACCUCAACUUACUCUAAGCUGAUUAAAGAGCUUUAGAAAUUCCGUGUACAGUGACCUCUGCCUCCAAUAAGCAAGUAUCCUUCUUCAAAAAACCACUUCCUGCCCGACGGAAAAGGUCCAGCUUAAUGAGACGUUGCCAACCCUGAGCCAGACGCGAGGCACUGAACCAGUUAUACCCUACAAGCAGAAAACAAAAAUCAUUCUCAGUUGAUGCUGCAGCUUCAGCCAAAAUUUAUUUGGGCCAUGUUUCGUGGUUGCAUGGAGAAGUGUACUGAAAAGAAAGAUUUCCAAAACAGAGCAAAAUCUAAGGAACAUAAAAUAAACCCUCAUGGGCCUGUGGCAGGCCAUUAGACUUUACCUUUAACGAAAACAUGCUUAGUGUGCUUUUGAUCUACAAUGCGCACACAAUACGCUGCAAAUAUUCCAGAGCCAGGAGGUAGGGUUUUAGGAUUAGACAAUUUCAAGUCAAGAGAAAGAUGACUACCCUUUCCAAGGCCAUAUCCCUUGGGAUAGAUAAGUAUCUUCCUGCCGCAAUCAAAACAUGAAGAAUAAGAACAAUUUCAGAUUACCUGCAGUUUAAAAGUUUGAUCUUGAAGAUCAAUUUAUUAUUUUGAACCAAAUUCUAAAUAAGUUCAACAGGAAGUGUUACUGAUCAGAGAUACCAUUUGUAGUCACCAGCUUUAAAUGCUACUGAGUAAUAUCCAGAUUUUAACUCUGAAAACUUCUCAAUCUUCCAAGCAUGCUGGUACAUGACAGGAUUCUUGAUCAUUGAUAGGCAAUCUUCUCUAACUAUUCUGCUUUUUUCAGAAACAAAGACCUCAGCUCCAAACACACAGGUGUCAUCAAUGAGAUAACCAUUGGAAGGAUCCACAAAUGAUUCCAGAGGGAUAAAUUGAUCGAAACCCGAAUAAAGCAUCUUCCCAUGAAAACACUUUACUUUUUUAUUGGCAUCUAAUUGAAGCAACAUGAAAGUUAAAAGGAUCAGCAAAUGAGCAAUGCAUUUGAAAAAUAAUACCCAUCUGCUGGAUCAGAAUUAGAGUGAAGCUAGAUAAUAUACCUUCAAGUACCAAGUAGGUGCCUUUUAUCUGAUCGAGCAAAAACAAUCUGAAAAAAGCAUUAAGUUCCCAACCAUCUUGGAAAUAGGCUGAUCCAGAGAUUACCAGGUAGAAAGAGAUGUGGUCCACCACAUUCUUCUUCAAGUAACCAUUUGGAUAGAGCCUCAAUUUCCUGUGAGCAAUCAUAAUAGUCUCAUACAUGUAGCAAUAAUAACAAAUUUUAAUCACAAAGUUACACAACAACAUGUUUGUUUAAUCAGCGGAUAUGAGAAUAAGGAUUUACCAUUUGUAUCCUCCAGCUUUGAAAUCCCCUGACUCAAUACUAGCCACAUUAUUUUUGUACAGGAAUGAAAAAGACUGUAUUUUCAUAGUGUAAUGAGUUGGUGGUGAUUGUGAAAAUGACCUCAAAAUCCCUGAAGCCAAAUAAUGAAGGACAACAAAAACAAAACAAAACAACCAUUAGUGUGCUGAAAUCUUAAUGCAUCCUCAGUCUAUAAUUGUAAAAUUUCCUUUCAGUAGUGUUUAAACUAACACCCAUAGGGGCAGAAAAAACAUCUUACCAUCUUGGAUGAUGUUAAGAGUACCCAUGGCAGCAAAAGUUUACCAACGAAGUAUUUUUGAGGAUGAACAGUACUUUGCUUCAAGAAGACCGCCGUUGUUGGCAAACCGAAGCAGCGGAAGGGAAGUUGUACAAUUAAUGGAGACUCCUAACCACAACCCAGGCAAAUUUUAGGGAAGAAUCUAUGUUUUGUUUUUCUCUGUUAGGAUCUGCUUAGCUCAUGAACGACCUUGUAUUUACUAAUUUGGGCUAUAGUGGGGGUAGCUGUUUUUUUUUUUCCCCAGCCCAAUAUAAUCCACCCAGCCCACCCAAAGUCAACCCGUCUUCAUGAAGAAUCAAUUAUAAUUCAUGUCUUGUUCUUUUUCAUUAAAAUAUAGUUAUUAAAAAAAGUCUCUUCCAUUCCUAUGCCAUACCGUGAUCAAUUGAAAAUAGGGAUUUGCAACUAGUGCUUAUCUGUUUAUGAGUUAUGAAUUAUUACAUAGGAUUUGUAAUUGAUUUUGGUGUUCUUAUUUGUAUGAAUUAUAUUAAUUAGGAUUUUGAUGCAUUUCGAGGAGUAAUUAAUGCACAUUAUGUCUUUUUGAUUAGGUGUGGUUUUUUUUUUUUUUUUGGGUUAUCAAUGAAAUUCACUCAUAUUGUUGAGUUUUCUAUUUUCUUAGUAGGUAUGUACGUAAGGUAAAUUUAGUCCCCCCAAUUUGAAAUCCUGAAUUCGCCCCUAGUUUGGUUGUUAUUUUAAGAAUGUCAUCUCAUUUAAAAUAUAUUCAACGGUUAAAAAACAUGUCACAUAAUUUUGAAUAAAACAUGAAAAAUCUGCCACUAAUGGGUGUCGUCCCUUUUUUCAGAUCAGUUUUUCUUGCUCAUCCCAAUUCUCAUGUGUUUGGGACAAUAUGAAUCACACCCAAAAGAUUAAGGAAUGCAAUUGGAAUUACCAGAUAUUUGAGGGGGGGGGAAAAGGGAAACAUGACAUGACAAUAAUUGAGAGAAUUUGGUCACUUUGGAAGAGACGAAACUAAUACUUCAAAAUACAGUUCAAUACAUGUCUUCACUUCUCGAACCAAAAAAAAAAUUGUCUUGAGUUCGAUUUGUAGAAAACGUAAACUAACAUAAAACCAGAAAAAGGAAAAAUGAGGACACCUGAGACCAUUGUAACUUCACCCAACUAUGCCAAACGUACCACUCUCUCUCUCUCCCUCUCUCUCUCUCUCUCUCUCUCUCUCUCUCUCUCUCUCUCUCUCUCUCUCUCUAGCUCUAGGAAAAUUCAGAACUUGUUUUGAACACAAAAUAUGACAUUACUGUUGUGCGGAAGCGUCAACCAACUGCGAGUGAAAAAUAACAACAGGCAGGAGAAAAAUAGAACAAAAUAAUCAAUCAACAAGAACAACACCAAGAUUUAUACUGGUUCGGCAAUUGCCUACAUCCAGUUUGGAGACGACGGAGUAUUCCACUAUAAUCAAUGAGAGAACACAAUAGUGUUUAACCACUCAGAAAACCCAAGCCCCAAAUAUACCCAAGCUCACACACUCAAGAAUAUAAAGAGGAUACAAAUUGAGUACAAUUUAGAGAGGGAAAAAUAACCAACAAUAGCAACAAAAGCUUAGUUGCCCAAACUAUUAUUUUUCUCUCUCCCAACUUCUCUCUUCUCUCAUCAACUCUCGGUGCUUUCCGCUCUACAUUUUUUCCAAAUGCAUGUUCCCUUUUAUAAGCCAAACAUUUGCUCUUCAACCACCCAACGGCAAAAGCAAAACACACAAGUCAAAAGGUAAAAGUAAGCCAUCAAUGCCAUUUGCUCUUCAACCACCCAACGGCAAAAGCAAAACACACAAGUCAAAAGGUAAAAGUAAGCCAUCAAUGCUAGCCAUUAAUUUGUCUCCAAUUUGUCUGCUAGCCGAAAGCACCGCAAGAUGUCUGCCAGCCGAAAGCAGUUUUGCUUUUGACUAAUUUUUUGAGCCAAUCAUCAACAAUCUCCACCUUGGCUCAAAACCUCGAAGCAACACUCUCAAUGGUCGUCUCCCAAUCCCCCAUGGGGCAAUCAACAAACUUUACAAAUGCCAAUUAAGUCUAAGCAAUGCUUAAACUUGAGCAACGAAACUGGCUUUGUCAACAUAUCCGCAGGAUUCUCAGCGGUCCCAAUCUUCUGAAGAAGAAUAUUUCCCUCGUCAAUAAUCUCACGAACAAAAUGGAACCUCACGUCAAUGUGUUUUGUACGUGCAUGAUGAACUUGAUUCUUUGCUAAAUAAAUAGCACUCUGACUGUCACAAUGAACAUCCACAUGGUCCUGUUCAAUCCCCAAGUCAUCAAGCAAUCCUUGAAGCCAGAUGGCUUCCUUUAUAGCUUCUGUUACCGCCAUGUAUUCAGCCUCCGUAGUCGACAGAGCAACUGUAGAUUGCAGAAUCGACCUCCAACUCACUGGACCUCCAGCAAUAGUGAAUACAAAACCUGUAGUGGACCUACGCUUGUCCAAAUCACCUGCGUAAUCAGAAUCCACAUAUCCAACAACACAUUGACCAGUAACUUUAUCAUGCUGAAAUAAUAAACCAACAUCCACAGUACCCAGAAUAUACCCUAGAAUCCAUUUCACAGCUUGCCAAUGCUCUUUUCCUGGAUUAUGCAUAUAUCUACUGACAAUACUAACAGCUUGUGAAAUAUCAGGCCUCGUACACACCAUAGCAUACAUCAAACUACCAACAGCACUUGCAUAUGGAAUUUGAGCCAUGUAAUGACUCUCUUCACCAGUUUUAGGAGACAUAGAAGCACUAAGUUUGAAAUGAGGGGCAAGAGGUGUACUAACCGGUUUUGAAUUUUCAUUCAUCCCGAAACGUUGUAGUACCUUCUUCAAAUACUGCUUUUGACACAGACUAAUCUUGCCCUUCGCUCUAUCUCUUUCAAUUUCCAUACCCAGUAUCUUCCGAGCUUCUCCUAAGUCCUUCAUCUCAAAUUCAUUACUCAGUUGAGUCUUCAACCUUUCAAUCUCCACUUUGCUUUUACAUGCUAUAAAUAUAUCAUCAACAUAUAAAAGCAGAUAGAUGAAGGUUCCAUCUUGUAGCUUGCGAAAGUAUACACAAUGGUCAUAAUGACUUCUUGUGUACUUCUGCCCGAUCAUAAACCGAUCAAAUCGCUUAUACCAUUGUCUUGGAGACUGCUUCAAGCCGUACAAUGAUUUUUGCAAUUUGCAAACCCAAUUUUCUUUUCCAGCAACCUUAAAACCUUCUGGCUGAGACAUAUAAAUUUCUUCCUCCAAAUCACCAUGUAAGAAUGCAGUCUUGACAUCAAGUUGAGCCAACUCAAGGUUAAACUGCGCAACCAAAGCCAACAGAAUACGAAUAGAGGAAUGUUUUACUACAGGAGAAAAUACCUCAUUGUAGUCAAUGCCUUCCUUCUGAGCAUAGCCUUUAGCUACCAAUCUGGCUUUGAAUCUUACAUUGUCUUUUCCCAAAGAUUCCAUCUUUUUGGCAUAAACCCAUUUGCAACCAAUUGCUUUCUUCCCCUUUGGUAACUGAACCAGCUUCCAAGUCUCAUUUUUAUGAAGAGACUUCAUCUCCUCAUCCAUAGAUUUCUUCCACUCCAAGCUCUCUGAACUUCUGACAGCUUCUUUGUAGGCGGAUGGAAUAUCAUCUUCAAUAAUGGGAAGUGCAUAUGCCACAAUAUCAGUAAACCGAGCAGGCUUUCGAAUUUCCCUCCUCGAUCUUCUGGUUGCAAUAGAAUCUUGUUGCUGUGGAGGCUCUUGGGUAGGUGCCUCCUCUUCAUCAUCGUUGUCCUCAUCAUCAGAAUCAACUGUAGGACUAGUGUCUGUAGUAUCAGACCUUACUGGAACAACUGGAGUUUUCAGUAACUCCACCUGCUUUGAACUACUCAUGGUCUUUGUCGCUUCAAUUUCACCUUCAUGCUUGUUCUGAUUUACCAUAGCAGCCUCAUCAAAAGUCACAUCUCUGCUUACAACAAAUUUCUUCUCAUCUGGACACCAAAUUCGGUAUCGCUUCACGCCAGUGCUAAAUCCCAUAAAUAGAGCUUUCUUUGCUCUUGGAUCUAACUUGCUUUCCCUGACAUGAUAGUAAGCAGGACAACCAAAUAUGAGUAAAUACUUGUAAUCAGUACAAGGUUUACCAGACCAUACCUCCAUGGGCGUUUUGCCCUCAUUCGCAGCAGCAGGCAACCGAUUAAUGAGAUGGCUUGCAUAAGUAAUUGCCUCAGCCCAAAACGCCUUGCCUAAACCAGCAUUAGACAACAUACACCGAACUUUCUCAAGCAAAGUACGGUUCAUGCGUUCUGCCACCCCAUUCUGUUGCGGUGUCUCCCUAACCGUGAAGUGCCUCACAAUACCCUCAUCUUGACAAACUUUCAAGAAGGGAUCAGACUUAUAUUCACCACCAUUGUCUGAUCUGAGAGUCUUGAUCUUUCGACCGCUUUGCGUUUCAAUCAUCUUUUUCCACUUCAGGAAUAUCCUCAAGACUUCAUCUUUACGCUUCAUGGUGUACACCCAUAUUCUUCUAGAGAAGUCAUCAACAAAGGAGACAAAAUAAUGGCUACCUCCCCAAGAUGCAUUAUUGGAGGGUCCCCAAACAUCAGUGUGAACAUAAUCUAGAAUGCCUUUAGUGUGGUGAAUAGCAGUGCCAAAUUUCACUCUAGUUUGCUUACCCAGCACACAGUGUUCACAGAAUUCCAAUUUGCAUGCCUUUGCACCUUUCAAUAAGCCUUGCUUCACCAAUCCUUGCAACGCUUUUUCACCAGCAUGCCCGAGACGCAUAUGCCAUAACCUUGUGGUGUCUGUGCUAUCUGCGUCAGCAACUUCGGUGACAGCUGCUCCACCAAUAACUGUACUACCCUGCAAGAAAUACAAGUUAUUUCGUCUUGUACCUUUCAUCACCACCAGUGCCCCAUGCACAGCUUUAAGAACUCCACCCUCCAUGGUGAUCUUGAGACCCUUGGAUUCCAAAGCGCCCAAUGAGAUGAGAUUCUUCUUCAUAUCCGGAACAUACCGAACAUCACUCAAUUCUCUGACUGUUCCAUCAUGCAUCUUCAAACAGAUUUUGCCUAUCCCUUGUGUUUUGCAGGCAUUAUUAUUGCCCAUCAAAACAACUCCACCAACCAGCUCCUCGAAGCUAGAAAACCAUUCCCGAAUAGGACACAUAUGAUAGGUGCAACCUGAAUCCAAAAUCCACUCAGUUGAGUGACCAUCAGCAGAUGAACUAGCCAAAGCAAACUCGAAAUCUUCAUCUCCAGAUUUUGCAACAUUUGCUUCAGAACCCGCUUUCUCCUUCUCCUUGUUCUUCAAUUUGGGGCAGUCUUUCUUCCAAUGACCCUUUUGGCGACAAAAGGCACAUUCAUCUUUAGCAAGAAACCUCCCUCGUGACUUUGAACGAGAUUUUCCCCGCUUCCCAGAUUUUCUUUCCUCUGUUCGACCCCUUGCAACAAGUGCCUCGGUUUGUGAAUUUUGAGUCUUCUGUUCCUUCUUUCGACACUCAUGAUUCACCAAUGCCGCAGACACCUCAUCCAGUUUCACCUCGGAUUUUCCAUACAACAAAGUAGUUGUCAAAUGAUCAUAAUCAUCAGGCAAUGAAUUUAACAAACAUAGUGCCUUAUCCUCGUCAGGAAUUAUCACAUCAAGAUUUGCUAAAUCAGCAAGUAUUUUAUUAUAAUCAUUGAGGUGUUCAUGCAUAGAAAUACCUGAGCGAUAUUGAAAUCGGAAGAGUCGUUUCUUCAAGAAGAGCCGAUUUUCUGCGCUCUUGGUCAUAUACUUCUCCUCCAAUUUCAUCCAUAACUUCUUAGCAGAAGUUUCCUUCAUAUACGGGUAUUUCAACUCCUUAUCAAGGAACGAUCGAAUAGUGGCACAAGCAUGGAGAUUAAUUCGAGUCCACUGCUUGUCAUCAAUAUCUUCUGGUUUAUCCUCCAGAACCAUAUCCAACUCUUGUUGAUACAACACAUCCAUAACUUCACAUUGCCACAUACCAAAAUUAUUGGAGCCAUUAAAUUUAUCAACCUCUAACCUUGUAGUGGCAAUUGGAUGUCUAUUGGAUGUAGGUGCCGACGACGACGAUGCCGACUCCUUCUCCUUCAAACCUUCCUCUUUUUCUCUAGCCAUCAAAUCUGCCUGGUACUAUUCACUGCUACUGUAGCACAGCACUAUUCACGGGGGCACUGUAGCACCGACACUAUUCACGUGCACUAUUCACCCGUCACUGUAGCACCGACAGAUUUUUCACUCCCACGAAACCCCAGUCGAAAAACUGGAGCUCUGAUACCACUUGUUGUGCGGAAGCGUCAACCAACUGCGAGUGAAAAAUAACAACAGGCAGGAGAAAAAUAGAACAAAAUAAUCAAUCAACAAGAACAACACCAAGAUUUAUACUGGUUCGGCAAUUGCCUACAUCCAGUUUGGAGACGACGGAGUAUUCCACUAUAAUCAAUGAGAGAACACAAUAGUGUUUAACCACUCAGAAAACCCAAGCCCCAAAUAUACCCAAGCUCACACACUCAAUAAUAUAAAGAGGAUACAAAUUGAGUACAAUUUAGAGAGGGAAAAAUAACCAACAAUAGCAACAAAAGCUUAGUUGCCCAAACUAUUAUUUUUCUCUCUCCCAACUUCUCUCUUCUCUCAUCAACUCUCGGUGCUUUCCGCUCUACAUUUUUCCCAAAUGCAUGUUCCCUUUUAUAAGCCAAACAUUUGCUCUUCAACCACCCAACGGCAAAAGCAAAACACACAAGUCAAAAGGUAAAAGUAAGCCAUCAAUGCUAGCCAUUAAUUUGUCUCCAAUUUGUCUGCUAGCCGAAAGCACCGCAAGAUGUCUGCCAGCCGAAAGCAGUUUUGCUUUUGACUAAUUUUUUGAGCCAAUCAUCAACAAUUACUUCCCCAACUUACUCUAAGCUGAUUAUAGUGCUUCAGCAAUUCCAUGGACAGUGACCUCUGCCUCCACUAAGCAGAUAUCCUUCUCUAUCUCCAAAAAAAACCACUGCCUGCACGACUGAAGAGGUCCAGCUCAAUGAAACGGGGAAAACCCCAACCCGAGUACAAGGCACUGAAUCAGGUAUAUCCCCGCAUUAGUCACCAUAUGUCACCAAAUAAUGGUGACUGUUGUCACUUUUUUUUGUAGUGCAGGCAUUGAAAAUUGAUUACCUUAAUCCAGAGUAGAGGCACAAAAAGAAAAAAAAAACUAAUCAAGGAUUGAGAAGAAAAUUGAAAAGAAAGAGGAAAAAAAAAAUAAGAAAAAGAAGACAUACAUGUUUACAAACAAAAAAUGCUUGUCAUUCAAUUGGUCUACGUUGUGCAGAGUAAACAAGUAUUUUGGAGGCAGGAAAUAGCUUUUCUGGAUUAGCCAAUGUUAAGUAAAGAGAAACAUGAGUAUCCUUUCCUUUGCCAUUUCCCUUGGGAUAGAGAUGUAUCUUCCUGCAAACCACCAACAAAUAAAAUUAUUAAAAGAAUAACUAAUUAAACAACAAGUUCAGAUUAAUAAUUAAGAAAGCUUAAUAUCAUCAGAGAUACCUACCCUGUCUGUCCUCCGUCAUUGAACGGUUGUGAUUCCAAGCAUUCGGGUUUUAACUUUGAUACUUUCUCAAUCUUCCAAACAUACUUGUUCAUAAAAGCACAUUGGGUCAAGAUAAGGAAAAGGUGGAGCCUAGGUUGGUUGGUUAAUUGACACUUUGUGCAUACCGGGGAGGUCAGGGUAAACAUGCCUUAAAGAUAAGAGUUCAAGGUACUAAAUUGAAAUUAACCUUUUGUUUUUAAUAUGAAAUUUCAAGCUCAACAAAAAAAUGUUAAACUUUUUUCAAGUCCAAAUAGGUUUCCCUUGUUUGUCUUGGUUUUGUUUUGCCUUUCCUCCACCCAUCACAUGCGGAUGCGUCUCAAGAUCGGAUCUCCACUACUAUCCUUUUUGCCUUUUUUUUUUUUUAAUAUUUAAAAAAAAUAGCCAAAUUCUGUCGUCACCGGCUUCAUUCCCCACAGUAAUGGCUUUUCUUUGUAAGUGAGAUGUUUAUUUCAGUUUGUGAAUAGGGGGUUGCCCUUUUUUUGGUUAGUCGCAGAGACUCUUUGGGUUUUUCUAUGUAGUUUUCACCUCUCCUUUGUGUAAGAGUGUUUCGCCUAUUUUUUUGUGAGAGCUUUCCACUUUUCUUUUAUGAGAGUUUUAUUUGUGUUGUUUUCUGACUUGGUUUUUUCAAGCUUUAUCUCUUUUUUAUUGUUCUAAGUUUGCAAUCUUAAUUGAGAUGCCUUUGUCAGAAUUUUUUCUGUCAUGCGUGAUCAUUAGUGAAGACGCACUAGAUUGUCUUAAUUUUGAUAUUAGAUUUAUACGUUAUUAUAAUGGCCCUUUGUGGUUUGUUUGUAUUUGCUCUGUGUGGCUAGUGGCUUUCUUUGGGUGAAUUAUAAAUGCAAUACCAUAAUUUCUCAAAAAAGAAAGAAAAUAGGAUGAGCUUAGCACUUACAUUCUCCAAAACAAACAUACAUAAAAAUAGUGGUAAAAUUCAAACCUAAUGUAACAACUCCCACAAAUAGCAUGCCAACAUCUCUUUUUAUAACUAAAAUCUAUAAAUUCUCUUAUUAGAAAAUUAAGACAACUCUUGCAAUUUACUCAAGAAAAAUCCCUAGUACAUUCAACCGCACCAAAAAGUCUCUUUUUUUUUUUCUCUUUUUUUUGGUCAAACACAACUCUCUACAACUGCGCAUACAAAUGGUCAUCAAUAAUUUUAGAAGUUAAUCGAGUAAACAACUCACCAACUUCAUAUUUAAUCAAGAUUGGAUGAUCAUUGAAUUGGGAAUUUAUCUUAUAAAACUCAUUUAUUUGCAGCUGCACCUCCUUGCUCAUGAUGUACAUAUAGACAUGCAUGCGUGCAUUAGAGUGCAUCUAUCCUUAGUUCCCUUCCUUGCAUCCAUGUUUUGAAUUUCUCUCCUUGUAAAUUACAUUAAUUUAGAAUAAUUCAUAACUUCGUUUUAAGGCUUGACUAGUUUCUUCAACACAAGUCGAACACAAUUGCAAAGGUCGACAGAGACAAAAAGAAAUAUAAUUUACGUACCAUCAUGUUGGCCAAACUUAAGACUAGCCAUGGCCAAAACUUCGAGUCCGGUUUACCUGUUACCAAAGUUCCUGUGUCCCCUUGUUUUCCUGCUAAUUUCGUGACAUGUGGCAAGUUACUUAACACCACUUAACUCUGUUAACUCUUUUUGCUUCUUUUUACUGUUUAUUUUUUUUGCUUUUUCUCCCUGUUCUGCCCCUUUCUCUCUUCUCUAGUUCCCUCUCCCCCUCUCUCCUUCGUCUCCCCUCCUCCGCUUCCUUUUUUGUUCUCUUUUCCAGUUCUCCACCACCACGUUUUUUCUCUCUCUCUCUCUCUUUUUUUUUUGUUUUUGGUUUUGCUUUGUUUUUCUUUUUCUCUCCUCUCCUUUUUUAUUUCUUUUCUUACUUUCUCCUUCACCCCCUUUUUCCCUACUUUAUUUUCUGAGUUCCUCUCUCCACAAACUCACAAAGGUUUAUAUUUGGGACUAAUUAAAUGGGUUGGAUUGGGUGAUGUUGGGUUAUCUAAAUUGUAAUAACCCAAAACAAAAUAUCCUAAAAUUAGUAUUAAUUUAUUCUAGCGGAAAGACGACUUUGUCCUCACCUCUUUUAAGAGGGGGAAAAGUUGACUUUUUGACCGAGAAGGAAUUUGGCAAUUCCACCUACGCCGUUGCGCAGAGCUCGACGAUACGAGUUCGUAGACAAGUGGCACGCCCAAUUUCGAAUUGUAACUAACGAGAAAAGGUCUACAAGCGAAAAGGACGUAAAAGGAAUUUUAAAUUUCUUAUUGCUACAGUACCGCUACAGUACCCGAACUUUUUUUUAUAUAUUUCUCUCCUCUCCCUCGUCAGAUUGCUCUCUCUCUCUCUUCUCUCUCUCCUUUGGCCGUGCGACCCUUCGCCUUCUCGGCGACGGCCCGGCCACCACAGGCCGAGCUGAUCUCCGCCGUGGGUACCAUCGGGUCCGCCUCCCUCUCGCCGUCAAAACCUGACCGACCUCCACCCUUGGGCCGCUCGGAGUUGAUCGGAACACCAUGUUUUCCGACGGAGGUUCGUCCGAAAUCACCCGAACUUCCAGCUCGAUUUUCUCCUUCAAUUUUCCACCAAAUCGGUCGAGUAAGGUAUGGUUUCUCAGCUAUUUUUCACGUUCUAGCUGAUGGAUGUAUGGGUUUAAAUCGAUUUUAGUCCUAAAGCGAUCAAUUUUCGACUUGAAAUCUGGCCGAAACUUCGGCCGCCUAAAACUACUGUUUCGGGUCAGUUUUUGGGGUUGUCCAAGAACAAAAGUGACUCCAAAUGGGGUGUUUUACCUAGGAUAGGAAUUUGGAGUCUUGGUUCCGAGAUUUUUCGACCACCCGAAAUCGCUUAAGACACCCAAAUCUGACCGCGCGUGCUGGGACGCGUGGGCGAGGGUAGUGAAGGAAUUCUGUGCAGUUUUGUGACCCUCGUACCAUCACGAGCACGUAGGAUUUCGCGGAUCUCAAUUCGGAGUCCGUUUGAGCCCCGAACGGAUUUUUCAUAAUAUGCGAUUCCCGGGUACAGUGUCGUCUAGCCGUUGGAUCGCACCCCAUUUCAGAUAUGUUGUUCUAUAUUGUUUCAGGAUCGUGUAGGAUUCAACGGAUUGCGAAUCGGAGUCCCGGAUACUCCGAAAUCGCGAACCCUGGGGCUAGGGUUUGAAAUUUAAGCGAUAACUCGAUUUUGGCUAAUCCAACCGUCCAUUUCGGACCAAACUCGCAGGACAUGGGUUUUACACAGUGAGGAACCUCUAGAGAAUCCCAGAUCGGCCAUCGGAGAUCGUGGACCCCACGGGGUUCCGGAUCGGCCGGUCUAACAGUUUAUCGCUUUGUAAGGUUUCCAGUCUUUUAAGGCCAUUCUAAUUAUCUGAAAUGUUACAGUGGGCAUAGAGUUGACUUUACAAUGAGAGCACGCAUUGCUAGGAGCCGGGGGUCAGGGUAUUUAAUUUAAUGCUUUUAUUGAGCAGUUUAGUAAUUGAAUAUUCAUGGUUAAACAGGCAUCAGAGGCCAAACUGAACCACAAGAGGGACCUUCAAGAGGUCCAGCUAGCUCGGACCAGCAGUGAGUGGACCUUUCUUUGUUUUCUAUGAUUUUCUGAAUCAGUUUUAUUCAGUGUGAUUUAUUCCUAUGAAUUUAAAGAUUCCUUCUAUACAUUGCUUAGCUGAUUUUGCUAAAGUUAUUUGGACAGCAGACUUUGAGAUUUAUGAUUCAGAAAUAUCUAGCUCAGAUUUUAUCAGAAUACAGAGGAUGUCAGAUUUUAUCCAAGAUAAUUAUUUUAGACCACCAUGAAUUAUAGAAAGCAGAGUUUGAGGUUUCUAUCAGAUAAAAAGGGCAGCACAGUUAUAGAUUGAAUAAAGAUUCAGUUAUUCAUCAGAUCUUUCAGAAAUAUUAUGAUAUUUAUAUUUGAUAUUUUCUCAGCAGUUUAUAUUUUCUUAAACCACUGUGGGUACCCGGUUACAGAAACAGGUUGCCGUCAAAUAAGACGAUGUCUACGGACAUCCAAAUUGCCUUCAGUUUAUGUUGCCUUCGGAUAUGAUGAUGUCUACAGACAUCCAGUUUACUUUCAGUUACGUCAGUACACUCGACAUUUGCCUCACGAGUUUUGGGGACGCCCGAACCGUGAGUGCCAGGAUUGCGGAUCAGGCUGACUAUGGUCUCCUGAAUCCUGCCAGUUUGCGGCUCGGAUACACUAUGUGUCGCCGAGACCUGCCAGAGGAAUUGACGAAGUUACAGAGGAAUUAACGGAUACCAGGAAUUGACGGAAAUUACAAAGGUACACCCAGUUGGUAACUUUAGAGGAAUGUCAGUGCAAUUAUGCAGAUAUUGAUUUCAGUGAUUUUACUUGAGUUUCUUAAUAUCGAGCAGUAACGGUAUGCAUAUAUUGAUUUCAGUGAUUUUACUUGAGUUUCUUAAUAUCGAGCAGUAACGGUAUAUAUAUGUUUACCUAAAUGAUUUGGACUUAUCAUAAUUCAAGUGCAGUUUAAUUAUUCAGUUGUAUGAUUAUCAUUAUUUUUACAGUGGGGGUUAUUAUGUUCAUAUACUGUUUUCUAGAACUUUAUUUUGGUCCACUCACACUUUGAAAUGUUUUGCGCCCCCCCAGGCAGUCGAGUGUGCAGGAAUCCACCACCAGGCCAUCUCCUAGCUCCCACGCUACAAAAUGUAGGUUCAGUUGUAAAAUACUUAAAGUCUUGUAAAUAAUUAGUAACUGCUCUGAUAUCUGGUUGGAUUAGAUAACCAGAACUGGUGAAUAUUUUAGUUACCCUAUUCUGGCAGUUGGUGUGGAUUUAUCAGUUUGUUUGACAGGUGGAAAAAAUUUGGGCUUGCUCAAAUUACAGGGGAGACUCUGCCGAAUUUUCGGCAAGAGUCUAAGAAAAGUUUUAACCGUAGUUAUUAGCAGGAAGGGUAAAGAGGUCUUUGUGCCCGACAUUUGCCAGGUGUCGGACACGCACAGGGCUUGGCUCGAAUUCCAAAGCGGAAAUUGGGUCGGGUCCUGUCAUAAAUUGGUUAUGGAGGGUGCAACAAUGUCUUGCUCUUAUUUUGUCCUAUUGGUUGUGGAGGGUGCAAUAAUAUGAUAUGUAUAUCAUGCCUGCAAAUCUGCUUCUAUUGACUCCAAAGAUAGACGGUUUCGAGGCCAUUUACAUAUACCAGUGCCCCAUUCUCUAUCACACUCAGGCAAAACUGAUCCUCUUUCUAUUAUUUCCCCUACUCCAGCAAUUACCUGUUUGAUAAUCACUCCCUUGAAAUCUUGUGCAUUUAUAGCCUGAUAUAUACUCGUGAGGACGUUCCCUCUUAUGGCCACCCUCGUGAUUGCUAUACUAUGGUAUUCAUUCUCUUCAUGCAUGAGUUGUAAUUAUAUCUUUUGGGUUUGUUUUUCGUUCACAGUUCCAAGGAAUUUCAGAUUGCUGGAAGAGCUCGAGGGGGGGGAGAGGGGGAAGAAGAGAGAAAGGGGCAGAACAGGGAGAAAAAGCCAACAAAAAAAAAACAGUAAAAAGAAGCAAAAAGACUUAAACAGAGUUAAGUGGUGUUAAGUGGCUUGCCACAUGUCACGAAAUUAGCAGGGAAACUGGGGGGCACAGCAACUUUGGUAACAGGUAAACCGGACUCCAAAACUUCCUUCUGUCGAUACUACAAGUUGAUGCCAAAAAAUUGAUAAAGGAUGCGUCGUCGACCAGUUCCUCCUGAGUUGAGUCGGUGAAGAAAAGGGUUUCAGCGAUGAUUAGAAAGAAAGUGAUGGAGGGUGGCCGUAAGUUAUAUUAUAUUGGAGAUCGACCGAGUACACUUGUUUCCCGGUAGGAAGUUUACAUAUACACAAACAUAUUCAAGAUUCCUCGUAUGAUAAUAUCUGAGACUCCUUAACUAACUUAAAUUAAAUGAUAAUAUCUGAGACUCUCUCUCUCUCUCUCUCUCUCUCUCUCUCUCUCUCUCUCUCUAUAUAUAUAUAUAUAUAUAUAUAUAUAUAUAUUAGUUUGCUCUGAUUUUACUUCUAUGAAAAUUCUCUCUUCAACCUCCAACGAGACCACACAAUCCUUGCUCAAAAAUAUACAAUAAGGUUUCAUUAGAGAGGCACCCAAGAUAUGGAAAAUGCUGGGACUUUUUUUUAUUUUUAAUAUUAAUUAUUGGAAGAUGAAUAAAUUCUGUUGAAAUUUUAAUUUUGAAUACGGCAAAUGUGGGCUUUUCUUCCCAACAAAAAGGAAAUAGUUUUGGUGCAAGGCAAGAAAAUAUGAGUUUUGUGAUUUUUUUUUUCUGUUAUUUUAAAUCAUAUAUUUUGUUAUUUCUAGAAAUUGGUAUUGCAGCAGGGACGUUAUUUUUUGUUUGCAUAUUUAUCAUUUGUGAUUUUGUCAAUGUUUUCAUCCUUCUUUUUUCAUACCUAGAAUAUCAAAAACGUGCAUACUGUUUUCGUUCUCUAAAACUUAACUUGGAUCUUAAAUUACAAAUUCAUUUUUGGGUUUUUAUUUCACGAAAAUAUUUUUCAGAAAUGAGUUCAAGAAAUGUUACCAAAUGGGUCCUAACUUCAUUGAAAACAUAAACCGCUUGUUUAGGAGUGAAGUAGCAACUCUCCUUUCGACUCAAUUAGCAAAGCUAAAAAAGAAAGCAGAAAAAUGACAAAAUUCUCAUUUGCAAGUAUAGAUACUAAAAAUUAAGAAUAAAAAAAAAAGUUUUCAACCACACACUAGAAAAAAAUUUCAAAUGAGGAUCGUUAUAUCAUGUUCUAUUGCCAAUAUUGAAUAUUUCUGGAGAAACAUUUAUGUUAACGGUAACACCAGGUGACACAAGAUGUGUGUUAUGAAUAUUUUUACGACAAGCUUUAGCUGGCUAUAAUGCUUUAGCAAUUCCAUGGACAGUGACCUCCGCCUCAAUUAAGCAAGUAUCCUUCAGCAAAUAACCCUUGUCUAACCGAUUGAAAUUGCCCAAUGUAAUGAAAUUAGACCAACCAAUACCCAAAGCUGAGGACCAUUGAAUACCUGCAAGCACACAAAAAAGAAAAAACGAAAGAAAAAAAAAAGACUAAUCAAGGAUUGAAAAAAAAAUUUGAAAGAAGAGGAGAAAAGAAACAAAUAAGUAAAAGAAGAAAUAUAAAUUAGGCAGCAUUACCUUUACCAUAAAAAUGCUUGGCAUUCAAUUGAUCUACGAUGCGCAGAGUGAACUCUGUAAGUAUUUGGGAGCCAGGAGAUAGCUUUUCUGGAUUAGCACAUUUUAAGUAAAUAGAAACAUGAGUACCCUUUCCGUUGUCAGCUCCCUUGGGAUAGAGCUUUAUCUUCCUGCAACCACCAACAAAUUUAUUAAUGAUUAAAAAAAAGAAGGAACUAAACAACAAGUUUAGAUUAAUUACAAGGCUUAAUUAAUAUCAUCAGAGAUACCUACCAUGUCUGUCCUCCAGCAUUGAACGGUUGUGAUUCCAAGCAUUCGGUUUUUGACUUUGAAAAUUUCUCAAUCUUCCAAACAUACUUGUUCGUAGAAGCACUGUUGAUCCCUGAUAGGCACUCUGCCUUGCCUGCUCUUCUUUCUUUACAAACAAAGACCUCGGCUCCAAACACACACUUGUCAUCAACGAGAUAGCCAUUGGAAGCAUCAGCAAAUGCUUUCAGAGGGAUAACUCUAUCGAAACCCAUUUCGAGCAUCGCCCGGUGCAAGCAAAUCUUGUUUAGAUUAGCAUCUGAAAAGCAAACAAAAUUAGAAGAUCAUGAGCAAUGCAUAGUGAUAGAUAGAUAGAUAUAUAAUGUAUGCAUACCUUGAAGAACCAAGUAUUUUCCCGUAUUCUGAUCAAGCAAAAACAAUCUAAAAUCAGCAGAGACUUCCCAACGAGUCUCAAGUGAAUUUGCUCCAGCCAUUUUUAAGUAGACAGAGAUGUGGUCUUCCACAUUCUUCUUCUUGUUUCCAUUUGGGUAGAACACCAGUUUCCUUCAGUGAGCAAACAUAAAAACAAUAUUAAUAAAGAAGAAAAUAAUAUACCAAAGCGAUGAAACGAAAUAAAAUAACUUAAGAAAAACGAUUAUUUACCAUUUGUAUCCUCCAGCGUCAAACUUCCCUGACUCAAAGCUACCCUCUGAUGUUGAAUGCUUCUUCAGCAACGAAAACGCCUCUAUUUUUAGAGUGUAAUGAGUUGGCGGUGAAUCUGAAAAUGGUCUUGAAACCCCUACAAUGCAACAUUAAAUAUUAAUUAAUUAAUGGCAACAACACUAGGUGUAUAUAAGAGCAUCUCUAAAGGAGAUGUCACAUACAAAAUGUUAAAUUUGAAUUUGAUAGCUUAUGUGGCAAUUUUGACACUUACCGAAAAAAAAAUAUUAACUCCACCCGUAUUGCCAAAUAUUUUAUUAUUUUAUUAUAUUUUUAAAAGCAUGGUACAUAUGAUGCAUAAAGUUUUUAAAGUGUGUAAAUGAUAGUGGGGUCUAUGGCUGAAAAUAUAUUAAAAUAAUAAUAUUUGACACCAUCUAGCUUUUUGAUAUAUUAUUUUUGACAUAUCUGUCUCAAGUCUUCAAAUCCAUGUAGAAUUUAACUACUCGGUUAGAGUAACUUUAACCUUUAUUUUUAUCAGUUUAUGUCCACGUAACAAUUUGGCAUAUCUGCUGGAGCAGCCUUGAUCACUUGGACCCUUGUAGUCCAAGAGAUUUGUGGUCACUCACCGUUGGCUGUAAAUUUAACGGUUCACUCACUCUUGCACUCAUUUUAAAAAAAAAUUUGAACCAUUAGAUUAAUAUCUAACGGUGGAUGACCACAAUCUCUUGGACUCCUGUGGUCCAAGAGAUCGGGACUGUCUGCUGGAGAUGCUCUAAGGAACUUUUCAAUACAAACCCAAUUCCGGAUGAAAAUGUUAGGUAAACCCACCUAUUUGAAUUGAUGACAGCCCAAUUUGCAUUUUCUACUUAUUUUUCUUAACUAUUUUGCCCUUGAAGGUAAAUAAUGAAACAAAUUAAGGGCUCGUUUGGGACUGCUUAUUCAGGAAGCACUUCAUACUCACAAAUCGUAUCCCUCCUUGUUAGGUAGACUAACUCGACACUCAAACCUAUUCGGUAGAUAGUUAACAUAAACCUUUUUUACCUAUGUACAUAAUAGAAAGAAAAAAAAGAAAAAAAAAAGAAACAUAAACUGCCCCUACAUACAAGGUAAAUAAAUAAAUAAAAGGUAUAUGUUUACAUGUACGUGUACAAGCAUUUUUCCCUAUGAAUGCUUGUAGUUUUUUGGGUUAAGAUUUAAUUUUUUAUAUAUAAAAUAACAGGCACCCAAAAUAAUAUAUACAUGUACGUGUCCAUGUCUUUAUAUCUAAGUUUGAAUUUCUCUCUCGUAAAUUAUAUUAAUUUAGACUGUAACUUAUAUUGAACAAAAAAACAAAACAAGCAUAUAUAUAUAUAUAUAUAUAUAGAACUUCGUUUUAAGGCUUGACUUGUUUCUUCAACACAAGUUGAACACAAUUGCAAAGUUCGAUUGAGACAAAAAGAAGUGUUAAUUUACGUACCAUCAUGUUGGCCAAACAUCAGACUAGCCAUGGCAAUUAAAUUCACCACCAAACUUCCUUCUGUAGAUACUACAGGUACGUUGAUGCCUAAAAAUUUAUAAAGGGUGUGCGUGCGCGUCGACCAGUUCCUCCCGAGUGAGUGUCUUGACUUGAGUCAAAGAAGAAAAAGGUUUCAGGCGAUGAUUAGAAACAAAGUUUUGGAGGGUGUCCUAUUUAUAUUGGAGAUCGAGAGUAGACUUCUUUUCCGAUAGGAAGAGGAAUUAAUACUACCAUUCUUUCACAUAUAUACACACACAUAUUCAUGAUGCCUUAUAUUAUCCGAGAGUCCUUUACCAACUUAAAUUAAAUGACAAAGGUUGAGCCUUAUUGGGUCUUGUCAUAUAAUUUUUUUUUUUUUUAAAGUAAUACAUGAUAAUUACAAGUUUCUUAAUAGAGAAAAAAAACAUAGUGACAUGAAAUAUUAUCAAGUUGUUUUUUGAAAGAAUUAAUAUAUAGUGACAUGAAAGAGUACAAGUCCUACUCCAAUUUAUUGUUUUACAAACGUAAGUAUUUUGUUGAACCAUAUUGAUCUUAUGUCAUGCUUGCCAUGAAGUUAACUGGAUGCGAAUUGGAGAGAAAGGUGACUAUCCUUUCCCUAUCCUUUUCCAUUGCGAUGGAGCUGUCUCUUCUUGAAACAAUAAACCAUGAAGAGUAAGAACAUUUUCAGAUUAAUUCAUAAGUAAUGCGGAAGAUUUUUCGUCGUAAGAACAGUUUUGAAGAAAAACAAAAGGCAAACAUUGCUAAACGAAUCGCUCAAAAUUUGAGCCUAAUCAACAUCUUUUUAUACACUAAAUCUCGUCCAAAACAUAAGACAUGAACACGAUGACUAUAGUGCUUUGGCAUUGGCAACUCCAUGGACAGUGACUUUGGCCUCUAUUAAGCAAGUAUCCUUCAUCAAAACCCCUUGCCUUCCUCACUGAAAGUGUCCAGUGAAAUGGAAGUAGGCGGCCAACCCCAAUUCAGGCUCGAUGCACUGAACCACAGCUAUUACCUACACACACACAUAAACCUUACCUUCAUCACAUUUAUGGCUGGAGUGAAUUUGAUGCACAAUGGACAGGGAAAACUCUUCAAAUAUUUUGGAACCCGGAGGUAUUUCCCGAUCGUCCAAUACGUACCAAGAAAAUAGAAGUAUGAGUACCCUUUCCAUCAUCAGCGACCCUUAGGAUAGAGCUUUAUCUUCCUGCAACAACCAACAAAUUAAAAACAAGAGUACAUUUUUAGAAUUACCUGCAAGUUUAAUCUUCAAGAGUCAAGAUUCCAGUCACGUUUUACAAUUGCAAGCUUAAGACGUACCACAUCAGAAUUUCAGGCAAAAGGUAUGCAUUUCAAAUUGCAUACCUUCCCAAAUCACAAAAUAUCUUCAUUUGUAGUUCUGUUAGGGGAAAAUUAUCAUUAACUAAUAAAGGUAAUUAUUUUCGUUUUCAUGCAGGUAAAAAGAUAUUUCAGUGUGCAUCAAAAUUGAAAGCACCCCCUUAAAGAAGUAUAUUAAUAAGAAAAUCAAUCAGAGUUUACUCUUUCAGAGUUUACUCUUUCAGAGUUUUAGUCUCUUAGGUCAGCAUGUUGUUGUGCCUUUCUGUCACUGUCUUUCUUUUAUACAGGGUUUUGGUUUGGUCUCCCUUGCUGUUCUUAUAUUUCUUUAUGUUUCUUAUUAAUAAAAUUAUGAUCAAGGAGACGGGCGGGGGCUCCCGGAAUGUGUUGGUCCCCUUUUCGAGGGUGGUGGAUGUUUGUGCAUCCGAUGACCGAUACUAAGGAGCUAAUCUCGCCUAAUCUAUUGUUCUAUAAAUUUAAAAAAAAAAAAUUUAUAUAUAUAUAUAUACCAUUUCUGAUACCCAGCAGCGAAUGGUUCUGAACUAACUUUGAAAAGUUCUCAAUCUUCCAAACAUGUUUGUGCAUAACGGCAUUCUUGAUCAUUGAUAUAGACUCUCCUUUGUCAGUUCUUCUUUCUUAAUUAAUUGAAUAUUAAUUCAUUUAAACAAUUUAAACUUCCACUUCAUCAUGGAUAUCUUCUUGUUGUGUUGCCAACAUGGUUGUGAGAUCAAUUUCAAAUGCACAACCAACUCACUACGUACACGGUGAAGAAAAAGUCACACGACCAAAAAACUAAACAGAAAAAAAUAAAGUUCUCAUUUGCAAGUAGGAACUAAAGUUCUCAUUUAACAACAUUUAAGUCAAAAUAAAAUCAACCGCAUAAAUGAAGCACCAAAGUUGGUUAACAAUUUCAAAUGAGGAUUACUAAAUCCAGUGCUUGAAUAAUUGUUGUUGCUUAAACAAUUUCAAAGCUAGUAAAAAAUCUCUUCUCUUUUUCUACGUUGUUCAUAUACGUAUGAUAUCCAAUCCAGUGCUUGAAUAAUUGCUGUUGCUAUACAUCAUCAUAUAUCCAAGCAAUUGCUGUCGCUUGAAUAGUUGUUGUGCCUUGGAUAUGAGGAGUAGUCUGUAUUCGAUGCACAUAUGAAUAGUUGGUGUUUCUUGAAUAGUUAUUGUUGCCAUCAUCAUAUAUCGAUGAACAGUACAUCAUCAUCAUAUUUAUUGUUGUGCAUCAAAUGAGUUGUAAUUUUUCUACGCUUUUUCUACUUUUCCUUCUUUAUGAAUGACGGUUUAUGCAUUUAGAAUUAUAGUUUACUUAUCUUCUUUUUUUUUUGGGUCAUGAAAUUACUUUUAUGUUUUUACUUUUGCGCAUUUUUCAUAAACAUCCAGACAUAGAUCCUUAUUUUGGUUGCACAUUUGAACAAAAUAUAUGCCCUUUUUUUUUUCUUUGGAUGUAUAUGGUUUGGAAGUUCUUUACAAAAUGUUUUUGUAAAGGUACUUUUCUCUUUUGAAAAUCUAGAAAAACGAUAAACAACCCAAAAAAAAGAAAAAAAAAACAUUUUAGAACUCUAAUCAACUCUUUUAAAAUCUAUGAUAAAACUCCAACAAACACCAUUAAAAUCAAUCUAGGAAUUCAAUCAAACUCUAUGUAGAGUUUAUAGAAAUCAAUUGAACUAUAUUGAACUCUAUAAACUUUAUAACUCCAUUUAACUCUUUUAAAAUCUUAAUUGAAUACACCCUCCUUAGAACUCUCUCUCUCUCUCUCUCUAUUAGUUUGCUCUGCUUUUGCUUCUAUGAAAAUUCUCUCUUCAACCUCCAUACAGACCACACAAUGCUUGCUCAAAAAUACCAGAAGGUUUCAUUAGAGAGGCACCAAAGAUCUGGAAAAAGCUGGGACUUUUUUAUUUUUAUUUUUAUAAAAUUAUUGGAAGAUUAAUAAAUUAUGUUGACAUUUUAAUUUUGAAUAGGGCAAAUAUGGGCUUUUCUAUACAACAAAAAGGAAAUAGUGUUGGUGCAAGGCAAGAACAUAUGAGUUUUGUGAUUUAGAAAUUGAGUACUGCUACACUUACCACAUUUUUAUCCCAAAUUUCUAUACCACAUGAUGUGGCAUGUUUAUAUCAUAUGUCACAUCAAUUAAAUGAAUGAAAUGUAUUUUAAUAAAUAAAAUUAGAAAAACAGAAACUAGUAUUUUACAUGAUGUGGUAUGUACACAUCAGCACAUCAUGUGGUAUGAAAUUAUGUUAUAAAAAUGUGGUAAGACUAGUAUUAUUCUUAGAAAUUACUAUUGCAGCAGGACGUGUUAUUUUUUGUUUGCAUACAUACAUAUAUAUCAUUUGUGAUUUUGUCAAUGUUUUCAUCAUUCUUUUUCCAUACCUAGAAUAUCAAAAACGUGUAUACUAUGUUUUUGUUCUCUAAAAGACAAAAACUUAACUUGGAUCUUAAAGUACGAAUUCAUUUUUUGAUUUUUAUUUUACAAAAACAUUUUUCAGAAAUGAUUUCAAGAAAUGUUACCAGAUGGGUCCUAACUUCAUUGAAAGCAUAAACCGUGUGUUAAGGAGUGAAGUAGCGACUCUCCUUUCAACUCACUUAGCAGCGACUCUCCUUUCGACUCACUUAGCAAAGCUAAAAAAGAAAGCAUGAAAAUGAUAAAAUUAUCAUUCGCAAGUAGAAACUAAUUAAAAAUUAAAAAUUAAAAAAAAUAAUUCAACCGCGCGCUAGAAAUUUUUUUCAAAUGAGGGUGGUUAUAUCAUGUUGUGUUGCCAAUAUUGAAUAGCAAUGAUUUUUGGAGAAAUGUUUCCGUUUGACAGUAACACCGGGUGACAGGAGGUGUGUUAUGAAUAUAAUCACGACAAGCUUUAGCUGGCUGUAAUGCUUUAGCAAAUUCCAUGGACAGUGACCUCUGCCUCGACUAAGCAAGUAUCCUUCACCAAAUAACCCUUGUCUAACUGUUCGAAAUUGCCCAAUGUAAUGAAAUCAGGCCAACCCCAAGGUCGACCACAUGCAAUAGCUGCAAUAGCACACAAAAACAAAAACAAAAAAGGGAAAAAAGAAGAUUAAUCAGGAUUGAGAAGAAAUUUGAAAAGAAAGAGGAGUAAAAUGUUUACAUUGACGAAAACAAUGCUUGGCGUUCAAUUGAUCUACGAUGUGAAGAGUAAACUGUGCAAGUAUUUUGGAGGCAGGAGAUAGCUUUUCUGGAUUAGCCAAUGUUAAGUAAAGAGAAACAUGAGGCUAUUUCCCUUGGGAUAGAGCUGUAUCUUCCUGCAAACCACCAACAAUUUAAUUAAAACAGAAGAACUAAUUAAACAACAAGCUUAAUCAUCAUCAGAGAGAGAUACCUACCAUGUCUGCCCUCCGGCAUUGAAUGGUUUUGAUUCCAAGCGUUCGGGUGUUAACUUCGAAAAUUCCUCAAUCAAGUAAAAACAAUCUAAAAUCAACAAAUACUUCCCAACCAGUCUCAAGUGAUUCUGCGCCAGCCAUUUCUAGAUAGACAGAGAUGUGGUCUUCCACAUUCUUCUUCUUGUAUCCAUUUGGGUACACCACCAGUUUCCUGCCGUGAUCAAACAUAAAAAAUAAUAGGGGCAUUUGUAUCCUCCAGGAUCAAACUCCCCUGACUCAAAUCUAUCCGCCGAAUACUUCUUUAGCAACGAAAACGACUCUAUUUUUAGAGUGUAAUGAGAUGGCGGUGAAUCUGAAAAUGGUCUUGAAACCUCUGCAACGCAACAAUUAAACAUUUUAUUAAUUAAUGGCAACAAUAAAUACAUGCAUGUAUGCGCAUUGAUUGAUAUAGAACGUCUUUUUGGGCAAAUGUGAGUUAAGUUAGCAUUGCCCACCCCUCUGCACUCACGUUCGAAUUUCUAUUCCCGUAAGUUAAUUUAAUUUAACAUAAACUAGACUAUUAUUAAUAUUUUAAAAAACAAAAUAAAAUGGAACUUCCUUUUAAGGCUUGAGUAGUUUCUUCAACACAAGUUCAACAUAAGCUCAUAGAUAGAUAGAGACAAAAAUAAGUAGAUGUUACGUACCAUCUUGGUCAAACUCAAUACUAAGCAUGGAAAUUAAAUUGACCACCAAACUUCCUUCUAUAGAUACAGGUUGAUGCCAGAAAUUUGAUCAAGAAAAAGGCUUCAGCGAUGAUUGGAAAGAAAGUUGUGGAGGUGGGUCUAAUCGCUGAAACCUAUUUUCUUGGGGGAGAGGAGAGUUCUUUUCCGAUAGUAAUUUUUACAUAUCUGACACUCCUUUACUAAUACGACUCCUUAAUUGAAUUAAAUUACAUUAAAUUAAAUUAAAUAGAUUGGGCCUUAUGGGGUUUGAUCCAUCGUAAAGGUGACAAAUUUGGGCUUUUCCUAUAAUUUGAGUGUUGUAUGAUUUUUGCAUAAUUUAGGUCUUAUUUAUGGGUUUACAUGUGAAACUCUCAAAUAAAAAAGAGCUUAUUGGCAAUGUAAGAUGUAAAAAUGAAUCCUAAAAUUAACUAAGCACACUCUAUUAUCAAACAUUUUAUUGAAUUACUAAUUUACCCUAAUAUAAAAUGAUCAAAAACGAUAGAGUGCUGCUAUUUCUGCCCUCUUAUCAUAUUUCCCCACCCACCAUGUAAAUUCGAAAAAACAAAAUCUUAUUUUUCCAUCCACCAUUAUUCCUAAAAUACCCUUUAAUUAUUAAUUCAAGCAAAUUCUCAUUGCCAACGGGAAUAGGCAACUUCGGUUCCGCCAGCAGUCAUCAAAUCAGCCUUACCUCGACGAAUGUGAUUUUUGCAGCAUCGAAAUAGUAAUUUGAAGUAGCACAAGCAGUCGAAACCGAAUAAUUUGGUUCCAUAACACCCAGAUCAAUACCAAGCAACGCAGACCCCAUGUUUGUAAUAGCAUAAGCGUAUAAACCUCGUGAGGGUUGUAGGACUAUGAUGGUUUGAGAAAAAGUCUAACUAAGAUUGCAGGAACAUAUGUAGGGUGUAGUGAACAAAUUUAAUUUUUAUUUUAAAUUUUUUUGUCCUUAUCGAUAAUUAUGUACAAGGGUAAAAUAGGUAAUUCAUGUCUAAAAUUAGUAUGGGAGGCAAAGAGCAAAUAAUGUGCCAAUAAAAUCACUCUUUUUUUAAUUUUAUAAUAUUUUAAAAGAUUUUGUUAUUAUUUUUUUCACACAUCAUCCCCAAUUAAAUAUCCCUAAUUAAAUAUCAAUAUUUUUUAGGUCAAAUUCCCUAAUUAAAUUUAAAUAUUAUAAGAAUUAUUUUUAGGUCCGACACAACAUCAAACAUAGGUUUUCACUAUUGUAAUCCGACGCAACACCAAACGUAUAUCAAUACUUAAUCCUACUUAGGCCAAUCCGAGCUAAUCCAAGACAGUCCUAGAAUUUAGUCCAGUCCACGACAGUACGCCGUACCAAACGACCCCUAACUUUCUUAUUAGAAACACAAACCACGUGCAGAGCAGUUGAAGUAGUGACUGUCCUUCCGACUCGCUUAGCAAAGCUCAAAAAGUAAACAUACAAACAUGAUAAAAUUCUAAUUUGCAAGUAGAAAACUCUACAACAUUUAAUUCAACCGCACACAUGAAGCACCAAAAGUCUCUUGUUUAAAGAAGCACCAAAAAAACAAUUUCAAAUCAGGAUCAUUAUAUCAGGUUGCGUUGCCAAUAAUGAAUGGAAGAAACGUUUUGGUUUGAUGGUAACACCACAUAGCAUGAUAUGGUUUCGUUAUGAGCGGACGGUAACCUCUGCCUCGACUACGCAAGUAUUCAUCACCAAAUAACCCUUGUCUCUCUCUUUGAAAAAGCCCAACAUAAUGAAAUUAGACCAACCCCAAGAGGGACUCGAGGCUCUGAAACAAUUACUAGCUGCAAGCACACAAAAAGAAAAUAAGACAGACUAAUCAGGAUUGAGAAGAAAGAGAAAAUAAAACAGACUAUUAGGCACAUGUUUACCUUGACGAAAAAAAUGCUUGGCGUUUAAUUGAUCUACGAUACGAAGAGUAAACUGUGCAAGUAUUUUGGAGGCAGUAGAUAGCUUUUCUGGAUUAGCCAAUGUUAAGGAAAGAGAAACAUGAGUAUGGUUUCCAUGGCUAUCUCCCUUGGGAUAGAGCUGUAUCUUCCUGCAAACCACCAACAAAUUAAUUAAAUAAUUAACAAGGCUUAAUCAUCAUCAGAGAGAGAUACCUACCAUGUCUGCCCUCCAGCAUUGAAUGGUUUUGAUUCCAAGGGUUCGGGUUUUAACUUUGAAAAUUCCUCAAUCUUCCAAACAUACUUGUUCAUAAAAUCAUUGUUUUCCUUUUUAUGAAGAAAAUCUUUGUUUUCUUUUGAUACAAUAACAGCAUUGUUGAUCCUUGGUAGGCACUCUGCCUUGCCUGCUCUUCUUUCCUUACAAACAAAGACCUCGGCUCCAAACACACAAGUAUCAUCAAUGAGAUAGCCAUUGGAAGCAUCAGCAAAUGCUUUCAGAGGGAUAACUCUAUCGAAACCUACUUCGAGCAUCGCCACGUGCAAGCACAUCUUCUUUAGAUUAGCAUCUGAUAAGCAAACAAAAUUAGAAGAUCAUGAGCAAUUCAUGCGACAUAAGAUAUAUGAGAAUUAAUUUCAAACAGAUAGAUAAUAUAUAAUGUAUGUAUGUAUACCCUGAAGAACCAAGUAGAUUCCCUUAUUCUGAUCAAGUAAAAACAAUCUAAAAUCAACAAAUACUUCCCAACCAGUCUCAAGUGAUUCUGCUCCAGCCAUUUCUAGAUAGACAGAGAUGUGGUCUUCCACAUUCUUCUUCUUGUAUCCAUUUGGGUACACCACCAGCUUCCUGCAGUGAUAUCAAACAUAAAAAAUAAUAGGAGCAUUUCAAUAUAGACCCAGUCAAUGACCGAAAUGUAAAAAAUAACUAGCAGAUUAGAAAAACGAUUUACCAUUUGUAUCCUCCAGCAUCAAACUCCCCCGACUCAAAUCUAUCCGCUGAAUGCUUCUUUAGCAACGAAAAUGACUCUAUUUUUAGAGUGUAGUGAGUUGGCGGUGUAUAUGAAAAUGGUGUUGAAACCCCUGCAAUGCAACAAUUAAACGUUUUAUUAAUUAAUGGCAACAACACUAGAAGAUACGUAUGUAUAGAACUUUCUUGCAAAUGUGGGUUAAACUAAUUGGCCACGGCAUUACCCGCCUCCUUACAUGCAAGUUCAACACAAGCGCAUAGCUCGACAAAAAGAAUUAUAUUUUACGUACCAUCUUGCUCAAACUCAAGAUUAGCCAUGGCAAUUGACCACCAAUCUUCCUUCUAUAGAAAGAAAGUUAUGGAGGAGAGAUUAGAGUUCUUUUCCGAUAGGAAUACGAUUUUAUAUAUUCAAAGAUUAUUCCUUAUAUUAUCUGAAACUCCUUUAUUAAUACGACUAUUUAAUUAAAUUAUCGGGUCCGAUCCUAACGAGGUGAUGACAAGUUUCUUAAUAGAAAAAAAAAACAGUGACAUGGAAUAUGUUAGAAUAUAAUCAAGAGGAUCACGUGUUAAAUACACCUAAUGGUUAGGCUAGUUAGUAGCUGAGCUGUCAAGUCAAAAGUCAGAUGUGUUAGUCUGUUAAUAAGUUUGUUACAGAAAUAAGAAAUUCCAGAGCUUUCUUAUAUUCUUUCUUGUUCCUUCUUCUUCUUCUCGUUUAUCCUCUACUCUGAUACCAUAUAUUCUUUUCUUUUUGAAAUAUUUUGUCUAUAGUUUAUUUUUCAGUGAUUUUUAUUUUUAUUUUUGUUGUCCAAACGUAUUUGAAGAUGUUUUAUUAAUGUUAUACUUGCACAUUGUUGGGAAAUUUUUCAUAUUUUGUUAAAAGUUUGAAUGAGUUUGAGUUUAUAAAUUUGGAUGCGAUAACUGUUUGGUUUGUAGUUAAAAAUAAUUUCACAUUGAUGAAUGUAACACAACAUAAACAGCUUGGUGGAAAAGGGUCUUAACUUGCAGAUCAAUGGUCUCAGAUUCAAAAUCUCAUGGCACUAUGGUAGUGUGUGUAUGAUAAACUUUUCCCCCUCUAGUUUAGACUAUCGCUUGUACUAAAAACAAACAAACAAAAACUCAUUGUGGAAUUUGGACACGUUAAAUUUUCGGAAAUAAGAUUACUACCGUUUGCAAUCCCUUUUCCCUUUUGGAUAGAGCAGCAUCCUCUUGCAACAAUGAACAUUUUCAUAUUACGUAGGUGCACUUCAAAGUUUAUUCUUUUUUCAUAUUCAUAAGUGAAAAUCUACUUUAAACUAAUCUAAACUACACGGAUGAGAAUUCGAACUCGGAUAUAAAGUGAGGAGUACAUCCACUCUAACACACUCGGCUAAGGUCAUGUCUGCUCAAAGUUCAUUCUUUAAAGUGCAAUAUCUUACAAGAAUUUUUUAACAAUCAAGGAAAAUUAACCGCAUUGAUCAGCGGCAUUUGUAUAGUUUAAGACUCAAAAUAUUUAUUUUAUUUUUUCUGUUUGAGGAAAAACUUUAGCAAAUAAAUGAAAUUAUUUUAUUCUUUCAUUCAUUCUGGUAUAGUUAGAGCGGCUUAUUAGAAACAAUUUAGGUUAUUAUAGCUCAAGUGGUUAAGAACAAUUAUUCAUACGCAUAAAGUCAUGUGCUCGAAUGCCCCAUCCCCAAAGAAUCCUCAUAGAGAGUGGCUACAAUGUUUUUUUGGGUUUACGAUUAUUCAUCUUGUUGUUUUGGUAUUUAGAGUUUCACCAAAACUUACAUAAAACCUUAAAAAAACAAGGAGAAAAAAGCCAAACCACAUGUAGAGCAGUGAAGUAUAGACUCUCCUUCCGACUUGCUUAGCAAAGCUCAAAAUGUAGACAUGCAAAUGAUAAAAUUCUAAUUUGCAAAUAGAAACUAACACCAAAUUGUGUUGUUUAAAGAAGCACCAGAAAACAACUUCAAAUAAGGAUCAUUAUAUCCUGUUGUUGUGUUUCCAAUAUUGAAUUGGAGAAACGUUUCUGUUUGACAGCAACAGCAAGUGGCUGUUAGGACAAGCUUUAACUGACUACAAUGCUGUAAAAAUUCCAUGGACAUUGACCUCUGCCUCCACUAAGCAAUAGCUCUGAACCAAAAAACCCUUGUCUAACUGUUUCAAAAUGUCAAAUGCAAUCAACCUAGAGAAACCGAAAGAGGGAGUCAAGGCACUGAACCAUUGACAACCUGCAAGAACACAAAAAUUAAAACAAAAACAAAAAGGCUGAUUAGGGUUUCAGAAAUAAAUUGAAAGGAGGGAAGUAAAAGAAGCAAAAAUUACAGAGAAGAACCCCAUAGCAAUAUAUAUUAUAUAGCAUUAGGUUAGACCACAUGCUUACCUUUACAAAAAAAAUGCUUGCCAUUCAAUUGAUCAACGAUGCGCAGAGUAAACUCUGUAAGUAUUUUGGAGGCAGGUUCUGGAUUAGCCAAUGUUAAGUAAAGAGAAACAUGAGUAUCCUUUCCUUUGUCAUAUCCCUUGGGAUAGAGACGUAUCUUCCUGCAAACCACCAACAAAUAAAAUUGCAUUAAAACCAGAAGUAUUUUAACAAUAAGUUAAUAACAAAGCUUAAUAUGAUCAAAGAUACCUACCAUGUCUGUCCUCCAGCAAAGAAUGGCUUUGAUUCCAAGAGUUCAGGUCUGAACUUUAAAGGUAUAUAAACUUUCCAAGGAUGCUUGUACAUAGCACUGUUGAUCGCGUAUAGGCGUUCUGCUUUGCCAGCUCUUCUUUCUUUACAAACAAAGACCUCGGCUCCAAACACACAAGUAUCAUUAAUCAGAUAGCCGUUGGAAGAAUCAGUAAAUGCAUUCAGAGGGAUAACUCUAUCGAAACCCACUUCAAACAUCGCCCCGUGUAAGCACAUCUUGUUUAGAUUAGCAUCUGAUAAGCCAAAAAAAAACGAAAACAUCAUGAGCAAAGCAACACAAGAACUGGUCUAUAUCUGCUGAAUGGAUGCAUUGAGAAUUCUUUUCAAACAGAUAGAAGAUGUAUCAUGUAUGCAUACCCUGAAGAACCAAGUAGAUUCCCUUAUUCUGAUCAAGUAAAAACAAUCUAAACUCAACAAAUACUUCCCAACCAGUCUGAAGUGAAUCUGCUCCAGCCAUUUCUAAGUAGACAGAGAUGUGGUCAUCCACAUUCUUCUGCUUGUAUCCAUUUGGGUACACCGCCAGUUUCCUGCAGUGACCAAACAUAAUAAUAAUACUACUCAUAUAUAUGCUGAAAAUUAAUCAAAUCAAAUCACAAAGGUAUAUCUAAUUAAGUAGUAGAUGAGAAAAACAAUUUACCAUUUGUAUCCUCCAGCAUCGAACUGCCCUGACUCAAAUCUACCUGCUGAAUGCCUCUCUAAAGACGAAAAGGACUCUACUUUUAGGAUGUAAUGAGUUGGCGGUGAAUUUGAAAAUGGUGUUGAAACCCCUGCAAUGCAAUAAUUAAACAUUAAUUAAUUAAUGGCAACAACACUAGAGGAAUAUCUAAAAACUAGACAGUUCGGAUCAUUGAAAUACAAUGCGUGGUAUAUAUAUAUAUAUAUACACACACGCAUGCAUGCUCUGUCAUUCCUGUAGGUCUGAUGCUGCCUUGGCACCCCCAGCUCCCAUAUACUCGUUUGUCUUACGUACCUGCAGCAUCUGGCUCAAACUUAAGAUUAAGAGUAGCCAUGGCAGUUAAAUUUGACCACCAAACUUGCUGAUGCAGCAGAUUAAUUGAUGGAAAAUCUGAUUAAUUAGGCUAACCAAUUCCUCCAGAUCAGUCUCUUAAGUCAGUGAAGGAAAAGGUUUGAGCGAUUAGAAAGAAAGAAAGGCAUGGAAAGUGGCCUACUUUUAGGAGAGUAUAAGAUUUUUUCCCAUGUAUAUGUAUCCAAGAAAGACUCUUUUACUAAGCUAGAGCCUUAUCGGGUUGUUGUAUAUAUAUAUAUAUAUAUAUAUAUAUAUAUAUCAGUCCCCUUAUAUUGAGGAAUCCCUCAAAUAAUUUUAUUUGAGGGACGCCUUUUAGGGUACCCUACAAUUUUUUUCCCAAUGAUCCAAACCAUCUAUUUUUUAGGUCUUCAUUCAUAGAUCAUCCUUACAAAAAAUUAGACAAAUCGGAAACCAUUUCGACAUCCAAUUGUGUCUUACAAAAUCAAUGAACACGGUGCUUCAAGAAAAUGCUAAAAUUUCAAUAACUUAAUUGAGUGGUCAAAUGAUACCGGAUUCAAGUGAGUUUUUGUAGAGAUGAUCUUUGAAUGAGUAUCUACAAAAUAGAAGGUUUGGAUUAGUGAAAUACAAUCCGGAGUGGGGCCUACAAGGGGUGUCCCUCAAAUAAGCUUAUUUGAGGGAUCCCUCAAUGGAAGCUCUCUGUAUAUAUAUAUCAAUUUGUUUUUCUUUUCUUUUUAAAAAAUCUUUUGUCUAUAUAUUUUUAAUUUUUGGAUGUAAGGAUUUGGUGACAUGUUAUGGGGUUUUGUUAUUUUUCUUCUAAGAAAAGAGGGAUUCAAACUCGGGUGCGGAGUGGGGUUUUGUUAUUUGAUGUGUUAUUAUUAUAUAUAAAUUUUUUAAGGUAUGUCAAGAUGUUUUAUUUAUAUUAUAUUACAUUUAUUAUAUGAGUUUGAGUUUAUAAAACUAUAUACUGUUGUGAAUUGUGGGCACGUUAAAUUUUGAGAACAUGAAUAUGUUAAGUUUUGCUAACAAAUUAUACGAAAUAAGUUCAUCUUUGGAAUAUCCUCCUGCAACAACCAACAUUUUGCACUUCAAAGUUCAUCUUCUAAGUGCAACUUUAGAAAAUAAAUGAAAUUUUGGUAAAAUAAGAGCGGCCUAUUUACAUCGAAUUUUAGGCUUAAUAGAAUCCUUACAGAUAGUGGUUACAAUGUUCCCUUUGGGUCUAGGGUAAAUCAUUUUGUGUUUAGGGUUUUGGUAUUUAUAGUUUAUAUUAGAAAAAUAAUUUAAAAGAAACAAAAGGUGUUUAUUUUAUGAUGCAUAUGGAAUUGACUAACUGAGAAUUUUGAGUGAGAAAAAACUUAAAAACACCAAGCCAGCUCCAACAAGAGUGACGGAGUGGGGGAUAACCAAAGCAGCAAAGCAAAAUAAUUUCAUAAGGUUUACAAUAAUACAGUGAUUUUAAGCGAUUAUGGGGUGAAGCACCUUCCUUCCGUUUGCUUCUCUAUAAGAUCACUUUAAACCACUUAAAGUGAUUCUACAUAGAAGUGAUUAUUGGCCUAUCCAAAAUCACUCCAAACGAGCCCCAAAUCACUGUACUGCAAAACUAUGCUUGAAACUCACAAGUUUGGCUUGCUUUCUUAAAUACUUUGCAAUCAUAGGCAAAAAUCUAAAAGAAACAGAACCAAUCACCAGAUGCUACAAAACUAUGCUCGUCAUUACACUCCUGCCAAACAUCAAAAAUCAUAUUUCAAUUGACUCAGCACUUUGCAAUCAGAACACAAUCUUGAUCAACUGUCUCAGACCCCCCACAUAAUUGAUACUUGUUUAAGCACAAAAUGGCGUGAAAAAGUGUUAGCUUGACGACUAUAAUCAGACUAGUAUGCAUUCCUGAUAAACAGCAGGUUCAGAAAAACCUCAACUAUGAAGACAAUCCUUCUGACUUUGGCCUUGUGUACCCAAGACUGAUUAGCUUCAGAACCAACAACUUUUCAGCAUCUGCCUGAAAUACCAAAAAGGAGGAGCAAAUUAUUCAGUGACAAUAACUAACAAAAGGUUUUAAAUGAACAACCCUGUCCUGCAUAUAUGCAAAUGAUAAAGAAACACACAUCACAUAGUCUCAAGUUCAUGUGUGUUUCUGUAGGUGUUUAAGAUUGAGCACAGACCUCAAUCAUGGGGCUAUUCUUAGGAAUGUUGCAAGCCAGAAUUAUAUUCAGUCCCGUCUUUAAAACUGCAAGAACCCCAGCAUGUCAGACCAUGGAACCGGAAACGAAAAGAAAACACAAUGAUAAACUCAAACUUAUCUAAACAUAGAUUGAUAAUUUACCUAAUCUUCGAGCAAUGCUCGACCCUGUAUUAUCAGAAGCCCCACCAAGUAUGGAUGUAACACCCACUGUACUGUUCUGUGUAAGUCAAGGAUACAAAGAAGUCAGAAAUCACCAAUGUAAAGAGAGAUCAAUUGAAGAGGAAACAAACACUAAAUUAUCAACUUACAGGUCUCAUGGGUGCUGCUGCAUACAAAUGUCCCAAUUUUGCAGAGUUGCAGCCAAUCCAUGCAUAUAUCUACACUCAAAACAACGAGAAAUUAUUACCCAAUUCAGAAUUUGUUCAAACUUGUCAAAAUUAAUUAACCAUGUAUGCAAAUAAUCCGCCUAGAUUUUUCUAAGCCAAAAAGAUAACAAAUUUAACGAAUUUUCUUGCUCAAUUUCGACUUGGGCAGUUCAAUUCAACAUCAAAAUGGCCAAAAACUUCAAAAUAAAAUUGAAUUGAAAGAGGGAGGAGGGUAAGGAAGAUAACCUGCUUGGGAAGGCGCAUGAUUUGGAAGUGGAAAGUAGUAUCGUUGACGACUUCAGUGAAGCACGUGAUCUGCACGCCACCAGCAUCGUCUUCGUUGCUGUAGUAGCUGGGAGCAGCCGGUUCUUUGUCUUUCGAAAUUUGAGCAGAGCUCAUAGCAUGGUUUAGAGCACCGAGGUCUAGAUCUUCUCGAGCCAUUAUUUGCAGACACGAGCAGAGUGAGACUGUGAAUUGGAGAAAUGAGCGGGGUCAAUCUCUCAAGGGUUUUGGACCCCUCUUUUUUUUCUUGCUUUUUUUAUUUUUUACUUUUUAUAGCAGGUGCAGUUGUUUUGUUUUUGCUUUUUUGUCAGGCGAAGCUAUAGUCUAAACUACAGAGAAAGAGAGAGUUUAAAUCUAAGUUUCUCUCGUACACACACAAAAAAAAGUGUUAUGGGCUUCGAAUCUGAGACCUCUGAUAUGUAAGUUAAGGCACUUUUUAACUGGACUAAACUCCAUUUUUUGUUUAUACUUCAUAUAAGAAUUCUAUAGUGAAGACCUUAUAUAUGACCCUUAAGUGAGGCCAAUUCUCUUUUUUGGUGAAGUCAUUCUAUGGUGAGGGCCUUAUAUAUGAUCUUUAGCUGAGAUAUUAUCUCUUAAGACAGAGGGUCUCGUCUAAAGAGCCCUCACUAUAGAAUUCUUGCUUUUUUGGUGUUUUCCUAGUCCUCCCUCUGUUGCUUGUUUGGAGUUUAUUCGGCCUCUUGGCUAUCUCUGUUUUUUCUGUAGCCUGUAAGCUCUUAGGAAGUAUUUCCAGGCACAAAAAGCAAUUUGUUUUCUUCUCUUUUCUUUAAAGAACGAAAAAAUAAAAAACAAAACAAGAGGAGAAAAUAGAGGGAGUGCAAAAGAGCAUAACUUCCAUAUUAUACAUUAUUUUUUUCUUUUUGCUGUCGAAGAAAAACAGUUUACAAACAAUUAUACAAAAAGAAUUGCUUCUAACUACAAUCAAUGGAUUACAAUGAGUAGCUUGGGCAACCCCCCCGCACCCCUUUCUUUCUUCACUCAAACCUCAGGAUACAAACUUAAAAGGGGAAAUAUAAAUUCAAACCAAAACAAUGGAUACAAAAUAUACAGCAUAGUUUGAAAUAUAAUUAAAUUGCCCUCCUUGGCAAAGUUGGGCAAUAGUGAUCAGCAACAUAUUCUCAGAUAGCCAUCUUCUGUACCCACAAGAAACAAUCUUGAGAAGGGUAAAAUACUUAUGCUUGACAACACUGAAAAGUUUCUUGCUCCAUGAUCAGCCAUGUAGAGUUUUUGGCAUGUAACAGCCUGCGGCCCAUCCUGCCAAAUGGUUUUCAUGUCAUGCAAAUUAGAUAUGUGCUUAACAAGAAAUGGUGAUAAAGUGCAGUGUUGUUUACCUCAUCACCAGAUUUGGAUAAAGAAGAAAGUCCAAUUUUAUUUCUGGCAAUCGAAAUAACAUCUUGGCCCCACACAGAAAACGAAGAUACGCCAUCCGUAUGACCCUUAAGAAUUGUGGGCUGAGAUGGCCAAUUCCUGCAUAAGGAGUUAAGUUUAACGAGAGCUUGAUAGUGCAAUAUCAUUUCCAUGAUGCUAGAAAAUAAAAAAAUAAAUAAAAAGUACUGGAUCAAUUUAAUGCAACACAAUUUGGGCUCCGAUCCUCAUGAACGUCUAAAACUCACAUAACAUAUAAGUAAACACAGGGAAACCCAGGGAGAUUGCUCCAUCCAAAUUAUUUGAAAGUUAUCAUUAAAUAAUGUCUGAAAUUACCUUCUCAAGUCCCAAAUUCUUAAAGUCCUGUCAAGAGAGCUGGACACAAGUAAAUGGUCCUCUGGUGCAGCCAACUACAUGAGUAAAUGGUAAAUUAGUGAAAUUAAACUAAAGUGAGGCUUUUCUCAAACUUUUUUGAAAUACCUUUGUCACGUAUCCAUCAUGAGCCUUCCAAGAGGCAAUAACAUUGCCACUCCUUGCAUCAAAUAACCUACAAUGACCAGAACUCAAUCCAGCUGCAAUCCAAGAUGGUGAAGAAGCUCCAUCUGGUUGCAUUUUGUCAGACCCACAGGAGCAUAUGGUAGAAACAAGGGAAGGAUAACCAGACUCAGUAGAAUCCCCCCUCCAAAGGUGAAGCUUUUGUCCUCGGACAACGUCAAUGAACCUGUAAGAUUGAGAAAACAUUAAAACCUAAAACUGCACGAAACGUUUCCUGGCCUAUAUCAGCUUGUAAUGGGAUAUCUGUGCAACACUAUGUAUUUACCUGAGAGAACCAUUUCCAGUGCCAACUACAAGCUUUUCACCAAAUUCUGUCUGAUGCAUACAAGUAUACAAGCUACCAUCAAAUGCGCCGGUCAGUAUUCCACCGGACAGUGUAUUGGAAUUGAGCAUAUUGACCUGGUCCACAUUGACCCUGGAGGAAGAAGAUGGAGGGCUUGCACUAUGUGCAGAAUCCACAGAUGGUUCAGAAUAUACUGAAAUUAAUUUCCCAGUUCGGCUAUUCCAAACAUGUAUUGUCCCAUCACAAGACGCAACUCUUCCACUAGAUGACAAGACACAAAUAUCGUUCACAACCUAAGAGCCACAAAAGCAGUUAGAGACAUGUGCAUGACCAUAACUAUCCAAAAGCAGAACCAAACUCGGAUCUGAAAUAUGUGCAUGACCAUAGUUCCAUGGCAAUUAUCAAUGUGAUUACGAGGAAUCACAUAGUAUGGAAGGUUUCAAUUUAAGCACAUGAGAAUAGUCUCAACAGAAAAAGGCAAAAAAGAAAACAAAAAGAGAAAAAGUAAUGCGGAAUAGGAUAAACAAACCUCCUCAUGGCCAUAGUAUCCGGAUACACAAUUAAUUCUAGUCAGCUCCCAUUUCUGAACAGUUCCUUUGAACCCUGCACCAAUCCCUGCAGUAAAAACCGUACAUUCAUCUGGACAGACGGCUAAAUACCGUAGGGCCCCAGGAUGCGCACGGACUGAGUAUAUGACAGAUGCUCUGAUCUUCCAUGGAUGUUCAUCUUUCACACCCCCAGCACGCCCAAGAAAAUCAGGCCCAUCCCAGCUAGCAGCUGGACUAGGGAACCAAAACCAGGGCUCAAAUUUUAAAUUUGAUGUUGCUGCAUGCAUUUCAGCUGGACUCUGAUGCAUUUCAAAUAACCGUUUUUGAGGCAUCAAGUUUUUGGCACUUCUAGACCCUUGUGAUUGCGGAAUUGACCAUCCAACCCCAUUGAGCAACAGCUUAGCAGGACUGUAUUCAGAAGUUGAGCCCUUUCUGAAUGCAUUUCUUUUACUGAGUACAGUGUCUGAACCACUUCGAGACAAUUCUCCUGUGUGUUCCCACUGAAUCAAGACAGGUUCAGAAUAUGAAGUGCAAAAGGUGUGGGUAUUGUAUUGGUUGUCCAUAUAUCUUAUCUGUGUCUGUGUGUGUAUUUAUGUAUGUUAAGAGGGAGGGAGGGAGUACACGUGAAAGAAAAACCCUCAUAUUAAUGAAAUGGUUAAAAGAAAAAUGAUUGUGUACCUUCCAGUUAUGAUACUGUAGGAGAUAUUGCUCAAGUAAUAACCAUGUUGCACAACACUGACGAAGCUUCUCUAUGCCAAGAAGGGAUGCAAAAGAAGGAUACAAAAGCAACCUGCCAACAGCCUAGCAAAUUCAACACAUAUUUGAGGAGGAAUAGAACAUGUGCAAAAAUUAUAUUCCAGUGUAAUCUAGUAAUUAAGCAGAUUAAAUGAACUGAGAAAAGCACUUACACAAGGUCCAUACGACUUUCAAUCAGAGCCCCAUCAAUUUUUGGCUUUGAACCCUUCAACCUUCUGCCAAAGGAAGUAGAAGCAUUGGCAGUUUUUGGUGAGAAAGCAAGCUCAUCAAAUAGCUCUUUAAGUUGUGGCAAAACAUGCAAUGCUGUCAAAUCCGGUCCUAUCCGCUGACAAAAUGCCAUUAGGGUUGUAGCAGCAACCUGGACAAGAGAGGCAUUAUAGCAUUAUGGGAAAUUACAAAACACUGGCUAGUAUGUGAGAUGCUUGAAUGGGAACUUUUGGGGUAGGAUGGAGGUAGAAGGUAUGACACAGGUAGGAUAUAGAAAAAUGCAGCCUUUGCAUCUGGGGGACACUCAUUGGACUUUUAAAAUAUAUGUAUGUGCAUGCAGGAACAUCACCUGAAGCACUCUAUAUUCUAAACUUGUCUGCAUAAGAACCAGAACAUGCAGGCAACUUUUAUCCUGCAAAAUAUAAACAUUCUAUUAUUUCCAAGAACACUCAGUUUUCAAAUUAAAUUAAUAAGAAUCAAAUCCCAUACUUCAAUUAGCUCCUUUGCAACCACCUCCCUUGGCAAGAAUGCAACUAGGCCAUCUAUUGUCAUUAAACAAUCAAUAAGUGCGAAAGCACUCCAGCUGUGGACAGGCUCAGGUUUAUUGAUACGUGAGAUGUCAAUGCAGGAAUGAAAUACAUGUUUUAGCAAUGGUAGCAUCUGUCUGACGAUGAAGCUCUCUCCCAAUAGACCACCUGGAAAUUGAAAACAUAAAACGCUUACAAGAAGAACGUGCCAAUUCCAGGAAACAUUAUUUCACAAUUCAUUGAACAAGAAUACCAAUUCGAACCAGCACGUCAAUUCCAUCACUACUGAGACCUUUCCCAAAGCAUUGAAUCAGAGGCAAGAUUGUCUGGGGCAAGAAUGAUAGUUAGCGUGAUAAUCCCAGUGAAAAAAAUUACACUUCUAUGAGUGUUUGAAUGUCUUUGUCUAAGACAGAUUUGCAUAUUUUUUUUUUAUUAAAUCACAAAAGCAAGAGUUUUCGGGUCUGUUUAACCUGAUGAGUGGUAAUAGGUAUACCAAGCUCUUCACUUGAGCCAAUCAGCAGCACGGAAGCGGCAGCUGCUGAACUCUUAUGAGCAGCCGCAUACAGGUUCAAAAUCACAAGAGGAUGUACAGUUUCUAGAUAUGCUUGUUUGCCAGUUUGAUUCCAUAUCUCUUGAACAAAAGAGUCUUGUAGAAUAGAAACCUUCAGGUGUGAAUAACCUGUAGUCUGAAACACAGACCUCUAUAAGAAAGAGGUUCAAAAGAAAGUUCCACAUAAAAAUGAAAAAAUAAAGCUCAAAACUAGCCUGUAAAAUCCUCUGAAUGGCGGGCAAGACUAUUCGUUUCACUGCUUUAGGUGUCAAAUUUUUGAUAAAUUCUUUCAGUAAUGUAUAGGCCCAUUCAGCUUCAGUAUCUGAUAAAGGAGUCACCAAAAGCGAUAAGCAAUAAGGAGCACACAUUUCAGCAGAAAAUGUUCCCAUUGCCUUCAGGACUCCUUGCUUUGCAAAAUUCGCAGCAUAAUGAAGGCAGGAUCCACCUUUAGCCAGAAGCUGAAGGGGGGCAAGAAACAAGUAGGAUGCCUUGACUGUGGUAGGAAAAUAAGGUGAUUCCAAAAGACACUUAGCCGAUGGUCUCCUAAUUUUUGUUACCCAGAGAGAGAGAGAAAGAGAGAGAGUGAGAGUGAGAGAGGGCAAGGGAAAAUAAGAAUAUCUCAUUGUAUUCACAACCUGGAAUAACAUAUAGUAUCGAAAUUAAAAAUGAGAAUAAGUAAUACCUCAUGCAAUCCUUUUGAAUGCAGGCUUCGACAAGUAAUCUGGUGUGAGGAGGAAGUUCAUGUAUCAGUCCAGGUAAUAAACCACUGUCCAAGUACACGGCCAACGAGGUUGGAUCAAAAAGUGGCUUCCUCAAAUGAAGUUCUGCUAAGAGACAACCAACAGAAAAUAUGUCCCUUGCAAUUUCUUCAGAAAAUGUCUUUGAACAUGAUGAUUUCUGUCUCCAAAGCAAAAGCUCUUGAUAUCCACUGGAACCUUCAUCCAACACCUCAACAUGCUCAAGAAGAUAAUUUGUAUCAAUAUGUCGCAACCACUGGUUUUUCUUGGUGUCAGAUAGAGUUACACUUUUCUUAACAUACUCGCCCGAUGACUCUUCUACAGGAGCAAUGUCCUUCAUCGAGUCUAGAUGGUAGCCAUAGAGGGCACUCAAAUGCAUAGCAUGUUCACAAAAGGCAGAUGCAUCUUCUAAAUCUUGCAAGUAAGCAGUUUCAAACAGGACAGAACUCUCACUACUUAAUUCAUUCAUUUUCCCUUGAUACAAAGCUGACCCGUUGGUGCUAUCACAUGGUUUCGGUAUUGCACCUCGACGCAUAGGGUGAGGUUGAGUAAAAAGCUGACGGCGUCCCGUUGAUCUUGGCAUCAUGGGCUCUGAUGAAGGAAGCAUUACAUUCUUUGCAGCAACAGCUGCCUGACCUAACAUCUUGUAACCAAAGGUGAUAUCAAUCCAAUGAUGGAGUUGGCGUGAAACCCGGUCGCUUUCUAAAGCAUCACGAUGCAAUUUAAUGAAUUCCUCAGGACCACAUGCCCAUGAAGGUACAGCCAAGUCAGUCAUACCAGCAUGAAGUGAAUGAAAAAUUUGGGGAUCGCAGUAAAACUCUGGAAUGCACUCAUCAGGGGUCCAUUGAUAGAGUCUUUGCAUGGUAGAAGGAUAUUCAUUAGGUUCAUAGACUGAGCGAACAGCCAUACGUAGGACACUCAAAGGUAACCUCCUUGCUUUAUAACUGCAGACAGCCAAUUCAGAAAGACAUUCAUCAGAUACAUGAUGUGGGAACUCUGAUGUUGAAUAGGUGAAGUCCAACUGUUCAUCACCUUUAGCCAACCUCCAUUUACUCUUGUUUAGAUCCCGCCACCCUGCAUCUGAAUUCUCAUCAGGCUUCAUGCUAAAAUCUAUUACCCAUGGCAUCACUGUGUGAAAUGUGUGGUCACCCCACCUUCGCCCAGCUAAUCUAUUCAAGAUGAGCAGAUACUCAAAAUUACUAAUCUCUCCCCUCCACCAUUGAUUAAAGUCACGAUGCCAGUCUAUAGAUGGGGAAAGCUUCAAAUCAGCAUAAAGACCUUGAGAAGGACAACCAGUUAUAGAGCACCCUACCUUUUCAGGUAUAAUAGUUGUGCAUCUAUUACCUCUAGAACUUGGAUUAAAUCCUACCCCGGGCUUAUCACAAAUACACAGCCAAGACCAGCAUGAUUCGGUAAGCAUCACACUGGAUGGACAUAUAUUGCCAUGGGAAACCCCUAAACCAUGAAUAUAAGCUAGAGCCGAGAGUAACUGAUAUAUUAGAAACCUUAUAUGCCAAUCAGACUUUAAGGCAUCGGGACUAUAAUGGAGAAUGUUUUCCAAGGUAUGUGGAGUUUUGGGAAGAACUAUAUCAAUAUACAUGGAUGCCUUAACCAUCCCAAGUACGGGAGCAAUAUUUGGAUGCCUCAGUGAGCCAGGGAACUGAUUCUCAUCAAACGAUGGUACCCCAAGUAAGUUAAGAAAAUUUACACUGUCUCUUCCUGAAGCUUUCCCUUCAAUCAAGAGACUAAGCGAGCUCAAAAUGUGAUCUUCCAGAGACCUGGACAAAAAUUCCGAAGCAAGCUCUUCGAAAAUGGAGUCUGAACAAAUGCCAACGUGAGUAAUCGGUGCCAACCCGCUGAUCACCCUCGAGCAAGAAAACCUACUGGAAUGGUUACAGGUAGAACUCUGUAGAAAUGUUUUCGUGCCACCAUUUGACAAAGAAUCCAACUUUGGUUUUUGGUCAUUGUUAACAUCUGAACUAACUUCCUCUUCAUCUCGAAUCACUUCAGAGGAAGGGAUCGUAUUAGCAAUCACACUAUCACUGCAGCCUUCAGCAUUAUCACCUAUAUAUUCAUUACUGAAAAGAAAAAGGCAAAAACCCAAACGUUUCUCAUUCUCCUUGAUCAUCUUAACAAUAAGCAAACAGACUAAUUUCGAUUCGUUUUAUACAUCACCAAUGUGCUAUGAGUAUCGUUGCAAUAUUAGUAAUUAUAUCACAAUUAGAAGAAGAAGAAAAAAAGUGAAAUUGAUUGAUCUUACACAUAUUUGGUCAAGCAAUCUUGUUCAUGACUGGGCAGGUAGCUUAGCAAAAACUGAGGAGCUGAAGCAGUUUGCCCACUUGAAUUCCACAACUGCAAAAACCAACUGCUUGAGCAUUGAGCUUAUUUAUACAAACAGAAACAAAUGCAGAGAGAUGAGAGAGAGAGGGGGGGUGGGGGUUGGAGUUGGAGUUGGACCUGAACGACGGCAGUGGAGCCGAAAGGGAAAGCGGAAUCGGAGAGCCCGUAGACGAAAACGAGCUUUUCGGAGAAGUCGGAUUGAAUCCGACGGUGGAGGCAGUCGAAGCACAUUUCGUGCGCCAUGUUUAGAAUUCUUCCUCCUUCGGUUCUUCUUCUACUUGGAAAUUUCUUCAAUUUUCUUCUUCAUUUCUUUCUAUCUUUCUUUCUUUCUUUCUUUCUUUGGAGCUUUUGGUAUCUCUCUUACCAGUUACCUACUUCGCUUCAGCGCUUUGAUCGACAGGUGCGCGCUACUGGGUUAAUAACUGGAAAAACAAACCAACCCCCCUAAACACUUCAACGCCUCGUCACUUCUGUUUUUUCGUUUUCUUUUUUCUUUUUUCUUUUUUUCGUUAAUUCACUUAUGUACGAACACGAAGUUGUAUUUACCUUCCUACCCACCUUACGGAAUAAAGUUGUGUUUUUAUUUUUAUUUUAUUUUUUUAAAGUAUGCAACAAAAGAAAAUAUAUUGUACAUUACUAAAUAAUGUUCCAUUCUUUCGAUCAACCAAAAAAUAUGUUGCAUUCUACUAAGAAUACAGGAUUCGAACUUGAAAUUUCUGCCUCUUUCAAGAUUGAAGUUAGAAGUGUCACUAAACCAAUUGCUGGUUAGUAACUAUUUUGUAUUUUUAUUGUUUGGGAAAGUCCUUCAAUUUCUCUUACCCUUUCGAUAAAAGAAAAAAAGUUCCCUUUGCACUUAGCGAAUUACUCAAUACAUCAGUCUAGUAAUUGACUGAACAUCAAAAGAUGACGAGCCAUUAGAAUGACAAUUAGGCAAGUCGUAAACUUGAACACAUUAAAUUCAACGUAAUAGGGAAUUCUCCACUAAGCAAUUAAGUUAAGAAUUAGUUACAUAUUUCUAAUGGGAUAAAAAUAAAAAAUAAACCUAAAGAAAAUGGCUCACAUCCUCAUUUCUUGAUGAUUUCCAUAAUUUUCUCAUUUUAUUAUUACUUUUUUUUUUCUUUAAACUUCAAAAAGGUGGAGAAAAAGGAAGGGUGGGAGGGAGAGCAACCAUUGAUUUCUAAACAAGAACAUGAACACUUAAAAACAAAUGGAAUGUAUCAGUCAGAGACUCACAAAACUAGAAAGAUCGGAAAGUUUAAAUUAUUUCGGCCGUGGUCUCAUCUUCCAAAGACAAACUCACAAUACACACAUUUUUUUUGGCCAAAUCAUAAAACACACACUCUGAACCUCCAAAACUCAUAAAAAGAGCUGAAAAUAAGAAAUUCUUUCUUAUUCUUCACCCAUGAUGCACUCAAUUGCUUGCUUGCAAAUUCCAGUCAUUGUUGCCUCGGGUCCAUAAACCUGCAUUGCGAAUAGAACAAGCAAAAAACAUUCAUUUAGUCAAGCUGCUCAUUGAGAAUUAGGCUUGUUAGAACUGGUAUCAUAUGACAAAACCAGAAUUCCAUUGCAUACCUCAAGAGGAACUCCAAGUUCCUCUCCCAACGCACGCAUCUUUGCCAAACCAGUUUGAUAAUUUGGACCGCCCCUUCUCACGAAGAUAUGCAUUCUUGCUGCUUUUAGCUUGGAUUCCUUUCAUGUCACAAAAGAUAUAAUUUGAGCAUACAAAACAAGAUGAAACCAACAUAGCCAAUCUCUUACAUAUGAAUGUCGGAACGUGGCGGUACCUUCUCUCUGAGGGCUCUAAUGAUUCCAUUAAAUGUAGCAGCAACAUCUGUGAAAUUAGCUAUACCACCUCCAAUAAUAAGAGCUCUUUUCUGACCAUCUGGAUCAGCAGUUGCACACUGCAAGAUGAGAACUCAAGUAGUCAGGAGAAGUAAAUGAGUGCCUGCGUGUAAGUGUGUGUGUGUGUGUGUGUGUGUGUGUGUGUGUGUGUGUGUGUAAGUGUGUGUGUGUGUGUGUGUGUGUGUGUGU